AGGUGACCUGUACAUGUGGGGAAAUGCAAGAGACUGCCAGCUAGGCGUUCCCGAUCUUCCAGAAGUGCAACCAUUACCUGUUAAAGUUAAUUUUCUUGCUGACGGUGAUGAGGAUCCAAGCCCUCCUCGUGUCAUCUCAGUUGCAAUAGGCGCUUCCCAUGCCAUGUGCUUGGUCUCCAGGCAACAGAUUCAGAAAUAGCAGCUGUUGCUUAUCAGCUUUGUAAAUUCAGUCAAAUUUGGACCUCCUAACCUGUGAGUACGCCAUGGAGAGGAUCAUGUUCUCUACUGGUUAGAGCCUGCCUUCUCAGUUGGCGAAAACUCCUGCUCGGUGAAGCCCAACUUCAAGAAGAAACAAUAAUAUUACAGGCAUGCCAUACUUCCUUGAAUUUGAACACUGGAAGUUCUGUUAAUUAGCGAUAGAUUUGUUUCUUGAUUUCUCGAGUGAUGUGAAACGAGAGAUAAAACCGACCGUGUACCUUCUUGAUUUCAGAUUCAUAGAUCCUUUUCUGUAGUUGGCAAGAUGAACAAAAUUCUGUAGCAUGCUGAUUUUAUUGCUGGCUUGCACUUGGCACCCAGUUCAAUAAAUUAAUUGAGCAAUGCUUGCGCAUUUGCUUCCUCGGUCACUCCCCCUCUCAGUUACCUGGGAUUAUUCAUGUCUUGCUCUUUGGUAGGAUGGUGUCAAAAUGUCAGUGACUCGUUUUCCAUGUGUAAGUAAAAAGCUCCUUGAUUCCAUGGCUGCUCUUUGCCACUUCCCUUGCAAAACUCUGCAUUUGUUGGGUGGAUCAAAUCUCCGCACUUCUUUUACCUCAUGUGUUCAAUGUUCUUCCAUCCCAGUUGGUCAAUCGAUUCCGAGAGAUAUAUAUCCCCCAGCUGUGAAUUAACUCCAUCAUAUCCUAGUUUGUUAAAGAAAACCACAUAGUUCAAGCCUAGGUUGUAGUGGAACAUGUUUGUUUCAUCUGGUUAUACUCGUUAAUGUUUGAAUAAGAGAAGUCCGGAGAGUCAAGAAAUGCCAGGUGUUCAUAUGAAAUUUCCCUGUUUUGGUCACACAAGGAAAUAUGUCAGGAGCUCCACUGAGCUGCUCAGUGGAAAUUCUGUCAUCAGGUCGAAGAUUUUUUUUGCAUCAUCACACGUACUAUCUGAGCUGCUUUCUCAAUCAUAUAUCAUGUUUGUAUUGAUGCACACUCAAUAUAGCAUGUUUUUGUUGCAUAAUUUUGGCCUAUCCUUUCACCAGGAUGACAGUACAUAUCAACAGCAUGGUUUGAUUUGCCAACCCUUAGUUGUUUGUACUUCACAUACUCUUUGUGUUCUUCCAAUACACGUCGCAAUGGUGCACGUUGAGGUGUGUUGCAAUGAGGAUUCCUUUCACGAUGCUACAUUACAGUUCAACAUUGAAUCUCCGUUUGUACCUAAAAAGUAUGUUUUUACCUAGUUGGGAUUAGAAGCUGUUUAUCUAAAAAGUUAAAUGUGUCAGUGUAAGUAAUUUUCUUUCUAUUGCAGAUUUUUGUUAUCAAAUGUUGUGUGUUACUGCUAGAAAUUUAGUUAUGACGGUGAACACUUUUUUGUAUUAAUUCACAUUAAAUUCGCUUUGUGCUGCUUCCUCGAUCAAUAUAUCAUUUGGUUUGUAUGACUGCAUAUUUAGUAUAGCAUGUUUUUGUUGGGUGUACUAUGUUGGUCUGCCUAGUUUACUAUGGAGAAUGUAUAUCAUGAUAGUAUGGUUGGUCUGGCCUCUCUAGUCCUAUUCAAUUGUCCAUGCAUCGUGUACUUGUAAUGUCAUGAUAGAGUGUGAAUAAUAUGGUUGCCCACACACCACAUCUCUGUAUAACGAGCAUAGUCUUGAAGCAGUGUCCUAAGAAAUAUUAAGGCUGUCACAAAAACAUAAUAGCCGUUUUCUAGAGAAAAUGAUAUGUAGUGAGAAUUUUGAAAUGUGGCUAAUGUCAUUAAAACGUUUCUGGUCAUAAUUCCCGAAACAGGCUUUUGCCCAAAUUUAUAUUACGGCCCAAAGGGCCGAAACAAAUCAAAAUGGCUAGAAAACCCUCAUACAAGUAGGUCACAAGACCCCCUCAAAAGAAAAAGUAGGUCAAAAGAAAAAACGGCAUCCGAGUGAGUAGCACAAAUACUACCAACCCAAAAACAACACUGCAAUGCAUCAGGUUUCACUUUAUUGUUUCUCCACUAGCAUCUCUAGAAGCACAUGAAUGGUGUGAUGUUCCAUGAGUUCGAGCCAAGCCUGACCCUGCUGCUCAAUUGAGCUUUCUCGCGAUGAUAGUGCGUUGGCAGAUUCGUCUUCUAUGCUCUCGCCUGCUAAUUGUUUUCUCUGUCAGCUCAUGUGGUAUGUAGUUCAGACAUAGUUCAUGGUGGAAGAAGUUGAGUUUAGUCUAGUUGCACUCAUUCAUGUUCAGUUAGCAAGGUUUGGAGAGUCCAAUUACAUGAGUUGUGUUCAUAAUAAUUUUUGGUAUUGCUGUGAAUACUAAGGAAAAUUUUCAGGAGAUCCAUUGAGCUGGUACUGCUGAUUAUGAUACUUUAAUGCUUGACAUUGCAUCUCUGUUAUUAUUUUUAUCUCAAUAAUAAUCUGUGUCGAGUUGUCAAUCUUAAAAUUUAUUCAUUCAGAAGCGGGUCCACUUAAGUUUCUUUACACGAAGUCUCUUACAAAUAUCGCUUGUUGCUAUCAAAUAAUUAGCUAGUGAUACCAAGUGGUGCCUUUUUAUAUCAUUUUAUCACGCUUUUUUACCCGCUUCUGCGAUUGGUAUACCAUGUGGUUUGUAUUAAUGUACUAUCAGCAUAACAUGUUUGUCGGGUGUAGUAUUCGACCUAACUUUUUACCGGAUAUUGAUGGCAAGAUAUAUCUUGGCAAUAUGGUUUGUCAGUAGUGUUUUAAGUUAUUCAUUCAAUGCGACACCUCGUGGUAGAGGUGAAUAAUUUGGUGGGGCGCAUACAACAUGUCCCAAUAAGAAGCAUAGCUGUGAAGCAAUACAUCAAGAAAAUUUGACAAGCUAUUGGUCCCAAAACAGAGUAACCAUGUUUUCAUUAAAAAGGGCAUGCAAUCUUUAGGUCUGAGAGGUAUCAGUAAUUUAGCAAUGAGUCGGCGAUCUGCAAGCAGUCGCCACAUGCAUCCCCUUUUAUGCACCCAUCGCCGGCGUGGGGGAAUGUCUAAGGUCCCUCUUCAAUCGUGGAGGAAAUCACUGCAAGCUCCCCACUGCUCGGAUCGACCUUCCACUUUGGCAAGAUAGAUGAGUGAAGAUAGGUUGCAGCACAACGACCCACCCUAUGCCACGGAUGGAGCUCGCGCAAAGAAAAAUAACACAACCAGUCUGGUUCGUAAUUACUCGGGUUAAUAGAGAUAGGAGCGUGGGCAAAAAAGGGAAAUGUUUCAUGCAGUUGUGCUUUCAUCUCUAUAUCUCUCCCCCCCCCCCAUGCCUGCAAAGAGAAUCGGGGCAUUCUAACCUACUGCAGUUAUUAUUUUUCUUAAGAUGAACAAUUGUUUGUAGUGUUCUGAUUUUUUGUUUGGUUUGCACUAGGCACCUUACUCCGGUUGUUGUGGAACGAACCGAGCAAUGUUUCAUUCCUUCUGUUCUGUCAUUUAUUUAACCCUAUGAAUAAAGAACAUUUUGUCCUAGAAAAUGUCCUUGUAAUUUGAGGGCAACUUGAGAUAGUAUACUCAAAACUAAAACAUUAAAUGUUGAAUUCAAAACAUUUUCUCGAUGUGUUCAUUCACCUCAAGAAACAUAUAUAGUAAAAUUCAAACAUGAUGGCCAUAUUUGGGUCUUCUUUGUGUUAAAACUUCAGUGGCUUCACUCAACUACCACCGACAGCCGCGCCCGAGGUUGCACAAUGACUCCAUUGAUACUCCCAAUGCAAAGCUCCUGCUUUUCUUUCCGGUAAAAUUGAAAGAGUAAAGAGAUACGAGAAACAUGAUUCACCAUCCUCACUUGUCGUUCCUAAUUAAAAAGCUCAGGAGGUGAGAAGAGAAAACAUAUCUUCUCUUUAUUUGCUUUAGAUCUUGAAGGCUCUCAUCGUCGGAACUCCGCUUCUUCACCUCCGUAAACGAUGGUGUCCUCAAAAUAUUCUUCCUUCCUUCUCCUCAUGAUCAAGGUUUUGCUUGGAAAUUUGUUUUUUUGCACGUGUGCACACAUAUCUGAUGUCUUUUGACCCAAUCAGUUAAUCAUUUUCAUGAGAUAACCCAGAGUUUGUGAGUUCAUUCUGUCCAAAUCCUAAUUACCAAUGAAACCAUAUAGUUGAGGCCUACUUCGUGUAGGAAGAGGUGGUUCAUUCCCUUCAUGUUCACGUCAUCAAGGUUCAGAUAGUCAAGAAACAUGCACUGGCUACCUAAUAUUUUUGUUUUGUUUUGGUGUGACACUGAGGAGAAUCUUCACGGAUCCAUCGUGCUAGCGUUGUACUGAUUAUGAUACUUUACUGCUCGAGUCGCAUCUCUACAAUUAUUUUUAACUCAAAAGUAAUUUGCACCGAGUUGGCCUUAAAAGUUGUUCAUCAAAAAGUUGGUCGAGUGGUUCGUCUAAGGUUUUUGUUUGCAGAGUCCUGACAAACAUCACUUGGUGCAAUCGAAUAUUUAGUUAUUCACUAGUAGAAAAGAGGGCUUUGGUCCAGGCCAGGUUAGCCCAUUAGUCCCGGUUCAGUCUAGAACCGGGACUAAUGGGGGCAUUAGUCCCGGUUCGUGAGCGCAGGGCCACGUGAGCCAUUUGUCCCGGUUCGUCUGGACCUUUUAGUCCCGGUUGGUGCCACCAACCGGUACUAAAGGUUAGACCUUUAGUCCCGGUUCGAGCCACCAACCGGUACUAAUGGGGUUUGAGGCAUUAGUACCGGUUCAUGGCACGAACCGGUACUAAAGGUCCCAUUUUCAAACUCUCCCCCCUGUGGAUCGCCUUUUUAGUUUAAAAAAAAUAGAAGAAAAUGAUGAAAAUGUCAAAAAAAUAAAAGAAAAUAAGUUUCCCAUGUGAUAUGUGGUCUAGUUGUUGGGAAAAUUUGCAAAUGUGAAUUUCGACUUUAUUUGCAAAAUCUCUCCAGAAUUUAGUAAAAUGGGCAUAACUUUUGCAUACUAACUCGGAUGAAAAAAAAAUUAUAUGAAAAAUCAUCUACUCGAAAAGUUGCAUCCAAAUUAAAUUGGAGGAACCUUGUUAAACAUUUUCAAAAUCCUCAAAAACCUAACAGAAAAAAAGUUACGGGGCUUUUAAUAUCUAGAGGCAAAAAAAUUCAAAAAAAUCAGUUUUUUUUUUGAAUUUUUGUUAAAUCUGGUCAAACUAUGGUCAAACUACUUAUUCAAGAAGUAUUAAUGUUACUAAAUAACUAUUCAAGAAUAUUAGUGUUACUAAAUAAUUAUUUCAGUUUUUUUGAAUUUUGGUCAAAUCUGGUCAAACUAUGGUCAAACUGUAGUCAAACAAUGGUCAAACUAAUUAUUCAAGAAAUAUUAGUGUUACUAAAUAAUUAUUCAAGAAUAUUAGUGUCACUAAAUAAUUAUUUCAGUUUUUUUGAAUUUUGGUCAAAUCUGGUCAAACUAUGGUCAAACUAUGUUCGAACUGUGGUCAAACUGUGGUCAAACAAUGGUCAAACUAAUUAUUCAAGAAAUAUUAGUGUUACUAAAUAUUAGUGUUAUUUUUUAGAACAAUAGUUUCAAACUCAAACAGUGAAAUGUGUGACUUCAUGCUCAAGCUAAAUUCCUGAGGUUAAUAGGAUUGACAUCUUACUAUUGUCAGGAAAACAACAAGUGCAGACUUGGAAACGAGGGAGAAUAAAACCCGGAAGUUAAGCGUGCUCAGGCUAGAGUAGUGAGAGGAUGGGUGAUCGUCCGGGAAGUUAGAUGAUUUGGAAUGAUGAGGGAUGAUUAGAGAUUAGAGGUUAAAUUGAGCAAUGAUGAGGGGUGAUUAGAGAUGAGAGGUUAAAAUAAUUCAGAAAUUUGAAAAUCAAAAAAAAUAUUCCAAAAUUUUUUUUAAAUUUUUUAAAAAAAAAUCAUAAAAAUUCCUUUAGUACCGGUUGGUGUUACCAACCGGGACUAAAGGUGGACCUCCAGGUAGCGGUCACGUGGAGAGCCUUUAGUCCCGGUUCGUGUUAGAACCGAGACUAAAGGGGGAGGCUUUAGUAACGACCCUUUAGUCCCGGUUCCCAGAACCGAGACUAAAGGUCCUUAUGAACCGGGACAAAUACCCCUUUUUCUACUAUUGAUUGAUACCAAUCGCCCUCCAUUUUUUCACAAUUUUACAGUAAAUUAUUUUAGCUUUUUUCAAAACUGGUAUAACAUGUAGUUUGUAUCAAUGUACAUUUGUCAUAGCAUGUUUAUUGUUUGUAGUAUCUGAACCUAACUUUUUCCGAGGACAUCACAAUAUAUAGCAUGUCAAUAUGAUUGAUCACUAGUGUAUCAAAUUAGUCAUUCAUUGCGACGUCUUGCGGUAGAGGGUGAAUAAUUGGGUGGGACGCACACACCAUGUUCUUAUAUAAGUUCUUAUAAGAAGCAUAGUUGUGAGGCAAUACAUUAAUUUUCUUUGACAAAACCGUUUGGUCCCAAAAACAAAUGAAAAAGGCUAUACCAACUGUGGGCCGAGAGGCGUCGGAAAUUUAGCAGUGAGUUGCAGCACAACUAGCCUUACCAAAUUUUGGCAGUACUCUCCUCCCACUCGGUCAUGUGGUGCUGUUUAUGCAACCACCAUCGGCUUAGGGAACGAUGGGGAUGCGUCACUGUAUGACACCCAAUGGUCCGAUCGCUCCCAUCAUGACUGUGCAUCGGUAACAGAUUGACAAAAAUACCUGUAACAAAUUUUAUAUCGGGUGAGGUGCAGGUAACUGAAAAUAACCUAUAUUGCCACACACAAAAAUUCAGCUGCAUGCGAACCACUUGGGCUUUUUUGACAAACUCUACGCAACUCAAAUGAUGUCCUAGCCCAAAAAAUAUCCCAAAUUCCCCCAUACUUUUUUUACAAAAUAAAUUCUCCCAUGCUCCACCCCAUCGGAUCAAUUCUACUCUUCAUGUUGCUUUCAGUACAUGUCGUACUACUCCGUAUUAUUUAAAAAAAAUAGGAAUAUCCUCCGGCUUCUGCAUCAUGUGAUGCAUGCAACCAACUUAACUAAUUCAAUGAGGGCCGACUCGCCGUCCAUUCACCCUUCCACCGUCGAUGAGGACGGCAAGAUCACAACGAGGCUAAGUCACGCCGUUUUUUCUACACUCUAACAAGGAAUCCUAUGCCAUCCGUUAGCAUGCUAGUAGAGGGCCUGGUACCCAUAGAGACAUACUUCUCUCCCCACCAUCACACCACGCCCAGGGCGCCACAUGGCAAAAUAGAAAUUGCAGAAUGGAUGCCUCUUGUUCAAGGGCUUUCGCAAAAUGUUCAAUCAAAAGGAUCUCCCUUGUGGUGGAGACAAGAUACCUUUUUUUUUUAAAAGAAGGUCAAAACCUCCGGCCUCUGCAUCAGUCAAUGCAUACAGUCAUCGAUCUUUAUUAAUUAUUCAACAGAAGUCUGACAAGAACAUACAUCAAGCUACCCGAAGCUACCACUCACACCUACAAACUCGAUAAUGUGAAGUGCUCUUACUUCCCAUAUCUAAAAGCGGUGUCGUCGCCAAUCCGUUCACAUAGCGUAUCAGAACCUAAAACCGGUGCAGCAAAACCUAAACCGUACACCACAUGCACGCUUUAGAAGACAUCAUCAUCAUCGAACCACUGGCCCAUCUUCAGUAAAGAGAUCCACAUCAUCCUUGCAAGUCCGUAAAUCCAUUGACGCCACCACGGCGCCCAACGGCACCACCUCCAUGCGUGCAAACUGUUGAGCACAUCGCAGUCGCCGCCGGGACACUGCAACACCAUGCCACCAAGUACCACCAGCCGACAUAGCUUGAAGUCUGGAAAAUUUGCCGUGCGUAGCACCUGUCGAACAGGCAUGCCACAAUGUAGCACCUGUCGGUCAGUCAUGACGUGACAUCUCCACCGCAGCUCCGUGCAAGACAAAGCCGCUCCACCUCCUGCCUCUGUCUUCCAGCGCGGAUCCACAAAUGAUGCUCGCAGGAGAGAAAGGACAUCGCAGUGCCGCCAUCGUUUGAUCUGGAAGACCAGAUCCUAGGGUUUGCCUCGGAGCAGCACGAGUGGGUGGAAAAUAGUUACACGACGCUGCCUUCAUCAAGGUAAUGGCGCAGAACACUGCCAUCGACUCGGGUUUCACCGGCAACUAUGUCUCCCCGACUCGCAACCGGGACUAGAUGACGGAUCCCCGACUCUGGUUUCAUCACCUCGGGUGGACCACCUCCAGCGAAGGAGGUGGCCACCACCGCCACACCCAGGGCCGUUGCACUCACUAGUGGAAAAGGGUCAAAUGUGAAGCACAUUAGUGUCGGUUUGAUUUUGAGCCGGCACUAAUGUGUCCAUUAGUGCCGGUUCCAACGGCUAGCCGACCGCUCUCAUUAGUACCGGUUCAUGGCGAACCUUUAGCACCAGUUCGUGCCACAAACCGGUACUAAAGUGAGUGGUGGCAGGAUUUUGUCAGUCUGGGGCCCCUCCAGUACCUUUAGUACCGGUUUGUGUUACGAACCGGUACUAAAGGUCGUCCUACAUAAACCCUUUGCCCACCCGAGCUCGCUCUGUUCUUCCCCUUUCCUCUCUCCUCCUCUCUUCCCCUCUUCCUCGAGCUCAUCACACAUUUUGCCCAAAAUUUGUCAAGAUUUGAAGGCCCCCAUCCAUUCAAAUGAUCACAAAGGUUAGCAACUUUGUUCUUUCAUCUCUCAUUGCUAGAUUAGCUAUGCUUUGUAUAGUGAUUAAUUUGUGAGUUUAGUAAUUUGGAAGGAAUUAUAUGUGCUAGUAUUUUAUUUAUAUGCAAUUUGAGGGGAAAAUAACACUUAGUUUGCAUAUGUAGGUGUGGUUUACUUAGUGCCUUCUAAAUCUCCGUCGUAACCACCGUCGAUCGCCCGCACCAUCCCGUCGCCGGCACCACCUUGUGGUGAGGCUCUUGUUCAUGAAUGUUUUACAUUACCAAAUUGAUGUUGGUGUGAUUUGGAUAUAUAGUUACUCGUAUAGUUAUCUUACCCGUACGUUGUUUCUUAUACAUAGUGCCAUGGUUUUGAUAUCCGUUCCCGUCGGCCCUCGUCCUUGUUAUGAUUCGGAUGUGGUAUAUUCUCUUUUAAAACUAGUUGUUGCAUUUCGUGUUUAUGACAAAUUAUGCCCAUCAAGUUGACAAGGAUAUUUUUAUCUAGGAGGGAUGUGAACCGGAAAUUCCAACCGACCCUAUUGUCGAGAGGUUAAAUUUAGUUGAAAGAGAAAACGAGUAUUUGAAAGAAAAAUUGAAAAGAAUUGAGGGGGAGAAGAUGAAAUUGGAGUUGCAUGUUGCCGAUGUCGUCGAUGAUCACAAGAUCAAGAUGGAGAAAAUACGCUUAAAGAUUAGAAAGAUUAGAAAAUAUGCCAUUGAUAGUGAGGCUUGGUAUCAUUAUGCUGUUGGAUCAAUUGUUACCUUAGUUGCAAUCUUGAUCGCAUUUGUUGUUGCAUUUAAAUGGUUUAGCUAGAGCGUUAUUUGUUUGUUGCAUUUAAGUGUUGUAUGAACUAUAUAUAUAUGUAUGAAAUUUACGUAUGAACUUGUAUUAAUUUGGUCUUUUCGGUGUUGUGUAAUGAAGAUGAGCCGACAAUAGAUGUAUGAUGACCGAUGCUCUCCCAAGUUCAUUAAUGGCGUGCAUACAUUUCUGCUUGCCGCUGAGGCAAACAAGCGGGCGGAUGGUUUUAUGCCUUGUCCAUGUGCUGGCUGUAAGAAUGAUAUGAGGGCUUUUCGGAAUGGAAGGACGACUACAUGGCCUGUGUAAGAAAGAAGAUGGAGGAGGAGAAGAAGAGGAAGCUGGAGGAGGAGCAGAGGAAGCAGGACGCAGAAUGCCUUCAAGGCCUAGAAGCAAGGCACGCGGAAUUGGCACUCAAAUUCCAGCAGCAGCAGCAGCAGAUCGACUCACUUAGCCAGGAAAGGGGGUCUCAGCAGCGGCAACAGCAAUCGGAUAAUCGUACAACAUUGGAUAGCACCAUCCCAUCCAUGCCGAGAAGCAGCGUUGGUUCCGCCCGGGGUGACACACUGCUGGAUACAAUACCCUGUGGAUGACAUCAUAGUGAACACUAACUGUGAGCUACACUCCAAAAUGAAGAACAUAUCCUUGAAGGUGGUGGACGAUGUUGCUUUUACAAUUACCCCCGAAGCAACCUUCCAUUGCAUCCCGAUUCCAGAGGGCUAUGCUCGUGUCAUGGUUGAUGAAGUGAUGGACCCAUAUUCGAGGCUAGCGCUUGACAUUCCUGGAGGUGACGACGAGCACACACUAGGAGAGGCCAUUCAUCAUAUCAUCCUACGGAGAAAGGAUUUGAUCAUCUUUCGAAGUCCACCGACACCGCGUCUGCCGACUCCUCCUCGAAGUCCGCCACCGAGUCAGCAGACUCCCGCUCCUCCAAGUCCACGAACGCGUGAGCCGACUCCUCCUCGCCACUGAGUCAGCAGACUCCCGCUCCUCCAAGUCCACGAACGCGUGAGCCAACUCCUCCUUGAAGUCUGCCACCUCCUCCAAGUCAACGAACGCGUGAGGCCACUCCUCCUGUUUCAAGUCUGGCACAGCGUCAGGCCACUCCUCCUGCUCCAACUCAGCCACGUCAGCCGUCUCCGCCGUCUCAGCAAUCGCAGAACAGACACGCCGCAUCUAUGGUGCGUAGCGGUACGAUUCGAGGUAGUACAGAAAGUAUAGGCGGAGACAAGCGAUAUAAAUAUGGUCCAAGCCUCGCUCCACUUCCUCAUAGGCCUUAUGACAUGACCGAUGAGUAAAACAUAGCCAUAGUACGGGCCCAAGUGGAGGCCCAUUUUGGACCGAAACCGGCACCGCCGCCAAGGGAGAAAGUGCCUGAGAAAGUUAUUGACCACUUUAUUCAUAUGGCAAGAAAACCAUCUCCCAAGCCUGUUGACUCAGACUAUGAGCGCCAAAUCAGGAAGCUACAUCGAGCACGGCUACAGAAGGAAGCGAGCUCGAGCUCGAGCCAACAAGAAGCUGUCAAAAAAUGCGGGAAAACCGUUCCCCAGCUGGGAGAACAGGCGUCGCAAUCGAUCCCUCCGCUUGUUGUGCCAACAACACAUGAGAGUACGCACGCCCGAUAUUAUUGUGGGCAAACCGUUAACGUUCCCCAGCUGAGCGAUGUGGUAAUAACUGAGGAGCAUAUAAUGCAGGCUGAAAUGCUCAAGAUCACUAUUGGACAACUCCUCGAGAUCGAUCCCAUAUCUCCGCUUAGAGAGGAGGGAAUAAAACGGAAAUAUGUCCAGGGCCAACCUUUGGUCGAGCCACACAAGGUCAAAAACCUCCCAACGAGAAUGUAUGAAUUGCAUCAAUGGUACAUGAACAUUACCAAGAUUUCCAGUCGAGUGUCCCUCAUGGUGAAUGUCAAGGAGGAGCAUUAUUUCCAUGAGAAAGCUCUGUCCGUUGAGUAUUCAGAACUAUUUCAGUUAUACAAUCAAGACGCACUCGACAAAUAUAUCGUCUGUUGCUAUUGUCUGUAAGUGAUUUCUUUCUGUAAUUUAAGUCUCAAGCUAGCUGUAGUGAUCAUUUUGAUCAAUCAUUACAUGUAAUUAUCCUCACUAUAUUCUUUUAUGUGGUAUUAUAUGCAGGAUGAAGAUGUAUGAAAUGAAAAAAUCUAGACGCUAUGGCAUUGUGUUCAUUGACCCAAAUAUCAUUAAUAUAAUGAGUACACAUGGAAUCUUCCAACUUAUCGAGCAAGUUUAGAGAAAAGCAUGCUAGAGUUCUUCAAGCGCCUCAAUACCAAUGAAGAUAUACUACUUCCUUACAACUUCUUGUGAGUCACAUUGUCUUGUACUACAAAUUCUGUUUUUGCUUACUAGCUAGCUAGAUGUUAAUAAUUAAGUGUAUAGGGUUUACGGUAGUUGAUUAGUGUUAUGCAGAUGCUCACUUAAUUAAGACAUGCAAACGUGUGCGCAUGCAGUUUCCACUGGAUCUUGUUAGACAUUAAAGUUGAGGAAGGAAAAGUUGAAGUACUGGACUCGCUACUUAAAGAAGAUAUUGACUACACCAUCGUGAAGGGGAUAGUCAACAGGUAAUUUCAAUCAUUAUUAACUAUAUCUCAGCCUAUUUAGUUCGUCAUUUCCUGAUAUGAACUAUUUAAUAACCCCUUUAUUAAUUUUCUUUGCCGGUGGACAGGGCUUGGGCAAAUUUCAUCAAGGUGACUCCAGACAAAUGGGCAAAAAAGCUGUUUUGGUAUCGACCAAAGGUAAGUAAUUAAGUAGUACUAUCUACCUAGCUAGCUACCAUCUAUUUAAUUCUUGUUUCAAUACCAUUAAUUAAUUAUCAUGCUUGAUUAAUCAUUAUCUGAUUCAAUUUCAUUCUCGUAAAGACCAUGAAGCAGGCGCAGGGAAAUGAUCUGUGUGCAUACUACGUUUGCGAGAACAUUCGCAUGAUGGCGUCCGAAAGGAGCAGAUCUCAAAGACAGGACUGGGUAUGUUUGUCAAAACACUAUUCACACCAUUAUCGAUAUCUAGUCACACAACUAAUACACAUGCAUAUUGAUCUCCUUCUUAACAGUUCAGAGAGGUGCGGGAGCAGCUCCUACCAACGGACCGCAUACUAGCACUUCAAGAGGAAAUAGCGGGAUUUUUGCUCGACCAGGUCAUAGAUCCCAAAGGAAAAUACUAUUACCUGCUACCGCCCCCAUGAACCACUUGUCAUCGUGCUCCGAAGGCACCAAGGCAACAUGUAGGAGAAAUUGUGUGUAUAUAUAUACAUGUGUAUGUGUGAAAAAUUAAUGGUGUUGGUUGUGAGACAUUCGAUGAUAUAUAUUUAUAUAUAUAUAUGCGGUUCUAUGAGAAAAUCUAUUUAUAUAUAUGCAUAACGUGUACAAUAUGUAGUAUCUAUAAUACCAGCAAACAAAAAAGAAUUAAAUGGAAAACACAAAAUUAAUGGAAAAUAAGAAAUAACCCCCCCCCCCCAAACAUUUAGUACCGGUUGGUGUUACCAACCGGUACUAAUGGUCUACCAGCACCCGGGCCUGGCUCGUGCCAAGUGGUGGCACUUUAGCGCCGGUUCAUGCCGAACCGGUAGUAAAGGGGGGCCUUUAGUCUCCACUCUUUAGUGCCGGUUUUGGAACCGGCACUAAAGGCCCUUACGAACCGGCGCUAAAGCCUGGUUCUGCACUAGUGACUUGACAUCCUCAUGUUGCGCGUCAAGUCCAUGAGUAGUAUAUAACAUGGCAAUUGGCAUGUUUGUUGGGUAUAUUUUUUGAGCUAACUUCAUUUCCAUGAUAUGACAAUAUAUAGCAUGCCAAUAAUGGUUGGUCACUAGUGUAUUACGUCAUUCAUUCAUGGCAACACCUCGUUGUAGAGGGUGAAUAAUUUGGUGGGGUGUACACACAAUGUUCUUAUAAGAAGCAUAGUUGUGAACCAAUACAUUAGUGAAAAUUGCCAAAACUUUUAGUCCCAGAAAUGAAUUAACCUUAUUUUCCAUAAAAGGGGAUCUGCAAACUUAGGCCUAAGAGGUGUCGAAAAUCAAUAAGAACAUGUUAUGAUAUAAUCCUGCUUCACUGUUCAUGCACCCAUCGUCAGCGUGUGGAGAGUAAGACAUGCGUCCCGAUGUGCGACAACGUGUAGUCCCUCUACAACCCCACUGUUCAAUGAUUGAAAGAGCAUGGUGCCUCCAUGUGUGGUUUUGGUAAUUGAUGACAUUCUCUAUGGACUAAUGAUUGCCUUGAGUUAUAUUUGAAUGAUUUGUCCAUAGGCAUUUCUUGAAGUCCAUGUGUUGGUUUCAAGGUGUUUAUGAGAUGACCAAGGUGCUAUUCAAGGAAUUAUUCAAAGAUUGGUCAUGUAGAAGACAUGAUACAAGGUUGAUCAAGACUAAGUCAAAGAGUGUAUCAAGUUGAACAACAUGCAAAGCGUAGAGGAUGUACCGAAAGGGAUCAAGUGAUUCCAUGAUAUGGUAAGCAUUGUCCAUUAUGCUUUGUGUACUAACCCAUGGUCUAUGUGAGAGUUCUAUGUGGGAUUAUGUUGUGGUGUGCAAGUUCAAGUGGAGCUUCAUGAAAAGAUCACGUCCUUGAAGCUUGCCGUCCAUUGUGGUGACAAUGAACUUGUGAAGAUGUGCCGAAGAGUGGCUCACCCAUACUGGAUAUGGGGGAGCAAUCAACUAAUCUUCAUCGAGCCAACGUAAUCAAGAAAGGUGGUCCAACUUGAGGAAGUCAAGAUCGUCAUCAUCAAGUUCAAGUGGACUAUGUGCAAGGCAAAGGUUUGCUCUUCAUAGGAUUUCUUUAAUGGUCUCAUGGUGUUAGUUGGAAGACCGAGUUAUAGGAUCGAUUGACAAACUAUCAAGAGGGGCUCUCGAGUGAGUAGGUUGAUCGUAUCGUUCGUAGAGAGCUCAAACUAUUGCAUCUUUGCAUCAUCUUUCUUGGUUCUUGUUUGGUGUUUCUCCUUGUGAGAUUUGGAGCUGAUGGUCAUCUUCAUGACAAGCUCGAGUUCAAUGAAAACGGAGUUCACAUGCAUCUUCUACGAUGUUUUCUAUGUUGGGGUUUUUGUCGGUUCUUCAUUCAUAGAGGUUUCACAUAUCUAUAUCUUUGGCAUUUUUCUACUGCCCCUUCUUACUAUAACCAACAAGCUUGUCAUCAUCUAUCCAACAAGCUUGAGUUUGGUGUAUUCGGAGCUCAUUGCGGAAGUUAUGAAAAUUUUGUUUUUUCUACCUCCAUUUGUUUGCUUGGGCUAUCUUGAAGCUCUCCACUGGUAGUACCGCUCUGGGCAGUGGUAGUACCGCUUGUGCAGUACUUCCGCCUAUACUCCGCCCCAUCUCCGCUGGUCUCGCUAUAGCUUCUGAACACAAGCGGAAGUGGAGCAGCAGUAGAGCGGUAGUACCGCUUGCCUGCGAAACUACUACCCGUUCACUACCACUGCCACUACCGCUUACGCGAGGUCUUCUAGAAUGGUUUGCAUCUUCGCGGUAGUAGAGCGGCAGUGCAUAGUCCCCCUAAUACCACUUGCACCUUUCUACUGCACCCUAAGAGGUAGUACCGCUAGGGCGAGCGGUAGUACCGCUCCGGCGGCACUACCAUCUCGGGGCUCUCUGCCCAUUGAUACGUCUCCAACGUCUCUAUAAUUUUUUAUUGUUGCAUGCUGUUAUAUUAUCAUUCUUGGAUGUUUUACAAUCAUUUUAUAGCAACUUUAUAUCAUUUUUGGGACUAACCUAUUGAUAUAGUGCCUAGUGCCAGCUGCUGUAUUGUGCUUGUUUUUUUACUUCGCUGAAUAUUAGUACCAAACGGAGUCCAAACGCAGCAAAACUUUUUGGAGAUUUUUUUUGGACCAGAAAAAAACUUGGGAGCCAAGGAAGGAUCAGAGGGGAUCCCCGUGGGGACCACAAGACACAUAGGCGUGCCCAGGUGAGUCACCUCGAGACCCAUCUUAGCAUGAGAGCGACGCCAAAAAUCCUAUAAAUACAAAAAUCCCUAGAAAUAACCCUAGAUCAGAAGUUCCGCCGCCGCAGCCUUUGUAGCCAUGAAAAACCAAUCUAUACCCCAUUCUGGCACCCUGUCGGAGGGGGAAAUCAUCACCGGUGGCCAUCUUCAUCAUCCCGGCGGCCACCAUGAUGAGGAGGGAGUAGUCCACCCUUGGGGCUGAGGGUUUGUACCAGUAGCUAGGUGUUUAAUGUCUCUCUCUUUCGUGUUUUUGAGUUGGCACGAUCUUGAUGUAUCGCGAGCUUUGUUAAUAUGUUGGACCAUAUGGUGUUCUCCCCUCUCUAUCUUGUUGUGAUGAAUUGAGUUUUCCCUUUGAUAUUUCAUUUUUACCAGAUUGAAUACUUUUAUGGAUUUGAGAGCACAUGAUCAAUGUCUUGCUAUGAAUACCCAUGGUGACAAUGGGGUAUCAUAUUGAUUCACUUGAUAUAUGUUUUGGCACUCAACUCACGGAUUCCCGAGGUGACAUUGGGGUAAUCUAUACAUAGGGUUUGAUGCACAUUCUCAUCUUUGUUUCUCUGGUAGAAAUCUUAGGGCACUCUUUGAAGUUCUUUGUGUUGGAUUGAGUACUAUGAAUCUGAAAUUUUUGAUGCAUAUCGUAUAAUCAACUCACGGAUACUCGCAGUGAAAUUGGAAUAUCUAGGUGAAAUUAGAGUUGGUUGAUAUGUAUUAUAUGGUGUUAUUUUAGUACGAACUCUUGGAUAGAUCGAUCGGAAAGGAUAACUUGGUGUUAUUUUAGUAGGAACUCUUAGAUAGAUCGAUCGGAAAGGAUAACUUUGAGGUGGUUUUGUACCCUAAAUAAUUUCUUCUUAUGUUCUCUGCUAGAUAGGAACUUUGAAGUGAUUCUUCAUCACACGUUGAGGGAUGGUUAUAUGAUCCAAUUAUAUUAGCAUUGUUGAGAGAUUGCACACACGAAAGUACGAACCCUAGGCCUCAUUUUCAAGCAUUGCAAUAUCGUUUGUGAUCGCUACCUUGCUGUCUUUUAUUGUUCCCAUUACAAAGAUCAAUAUCUACUAUCCAUAUUACACUUGUAUCACCAUCUCUUUGCCGAACUAGUGCAUCUAUACAAUUAAUGACAUUAUAACCGUACCUAAACCUACCCUCACAGCGAUUUGCGUAUUCGGCUGUCUGUUUUCAUGAUCUGGAUGUUUUCGGCCGUCAGAUCUCUUAUGUAAAGCCUUCUGCCCUGCAUCUAUCUAAUACUGGCCCAUCUGUCCUAUGGGUCGCUGCUCUGGAGGCCAAAACGAAGGCUUGUGGUUCCCUGGGCCAUCGGCCAGCCCAUUACAUCACUUCGCCAAAGUAGGUCCACUACUGGGCUUCCUUGAAGGGGACCCAGAGGAGCGGUCCAUCUAGUCCCGAUAUUCCGAUGCAAGGAGCAGAGAGGAGCGGUCGGUUCAAUCCUGGCUACCAGUGUCGCUCGAUUGGAUCCGUGCGGGAUGGACCGAGGCAGGUCGAUGUGUGCGCUGGGAGCCUGGGAUCGACCGGAGGAGCGGGACGCGGGUCAAGGCGAUGCAGUCCAAUGGCGAGGGGAUGAACGGAGGCGAAGCAUCGGCGACGAAGGCGAGUGAAACUGCUCCGUAGGGACUUCAUGAGGCGGAUUAGUUUUUACUGUCUAAAUGCUGAAUGGAGGUAUGCGUUUAUUCCUUCUAGCCUGCAUCAAAUCACCACGUGCACCUGCAUAUAUACUUAUUCUCCUCCUGCUCUCCAAUCACCCUUGUUCCUACAGAAGUAGGACCUCAUGCAGCCAUGGUGCUCGGCUAGGUUGCCCUCUAUCUGUGUUCAUGUGUCCUUACCCGAUCCCCUCUUUCACCCUCCAAUUACAUUGUCCUAAAAUCUUCCAUGUCCCAAUUUUGUGCAGGUGGUUCAUCCUGCCUGUGGUCGAUUUAUUCAGGCUUUUUGGUGUAUGCAAAAUGCAACAACUCAAUCCAAUGUGUGCCUGCAGGUGGUGCUCACCAUUGGAGAUCGAUUCCCGUAUUUUUCUUUGGUCAUUUUUUUAAUUGGACAAUCUCCAAUGGCUCCUGGAAAGGUGAUAAUUUCACUGUGACUAUCAUACAUCACGUAUUCAUGUUUUAGCAUUUAUAUACUCCUUAGAUUAUGCACCAGUGUCAUUCAUACCAUGGAACUGUUUAUUCCCAUAUGGGACAUGCAUGUACUUAAAACAAAAAAGUAAAAUGUUAGUUCCAUAAAAAGGCAUCAUUUUCCUUUUAUCUUCUUUUCCAUUUGUGUUUUUCCUUUCACAUUUUAUGCAAACUUAACCGUAGAUCAACAAUAAUUCGACUUUCAACCCUGGUCAUUCCAACAGCUAGCCUUGGAGGAUAUUUAAACUUAGUAUCCUAAUAAAAUUAACAUAUGAACUUCUUCUCAAUCAAACCAUGCCCUUCUCAGAUUAAAAAACUUCUAUUAUGAGCUGAAAAUGUACCCUGUAAUGUAAUUCAAUUAUGUGAAUGUGGUUUCGUCAUGAAAAGAUGAAAAUGAAAUCUUGGCAAGACCUAUCUGAGGUAGUAUAUGGGAAUGUUGAUUCUCACUUAUGGGGACUAUAAACCUCUGUUCUUACCUUACUGUGAAAUUGAGCUAGGUAUUCAAGAUUUUUUGGUGGCCCUAGGACGAGAGACAACUCUUUGUGCUUGUCAUUCUUCAAUAUAAUUUACAAUUAAAAUGUACUUGUGCUUGCUAUUUUCCUACCUGUGCCUUUUAUUGUCAAAGCAGGUUUCUCAGACUUGUACAUUAGAAGCGCAUCAUAAGAAUUUAAAGUCUUGGAUUUACUCAUAGCUUAGUGUAUUUUGAUCAAUUUCAAUGAUUUUUGACAUAGUUGUGCUUAGAUAGUAGCAUAUACCAAAGGGAUUUUUACCGUUUAUUUUAUGUAUUUAAUUUCACUUUACUAAAUGGCUAGAUCAACCCCCCCCCCCCAUUUUUUAUUGAUUUGAAUUGGUANNNNNNNNNNNNNNNNNNNNNNNNNNNNNNNNNNNNNNNNNNNNNNNNNNNNNNNNNNNNNNNNNNNNNNNNNNNNNNNNNNNNNNNNNNNNNNNNNNNNNNNNNNNNNNNNNNNNNNNNNNNNNNNNNNNNNNNNNNNNNNNNNNNNNNNNNNNNNNNNNNNNNNNNNNNNNNNNNNNNNNNNNNNNNNNNNNNNNNNNNNNNNNNNNNNNNNNNNNNNNNNNNNNNNNNNNNNNNNNNNNGUACUAACAUGCUGUGUGUACUAAAGAUCUUGUUUUCAUGCUAAGAAACACUGCAUUGUUUUUGGUCCAUAUAGCAGGAUGGUGAAAAGGGAGUGGGCUUUGGAAGGUCAUGUGUUUGGUUGGGUUUAAAUUUUUGGGGUUUGAGAAGGUUCCAGGUACCUCGUGCUAUGUGCUGAUUAACCUGAUGGCCUUUUAGAUUUUAAGUUUUUGCUGUGACUCAAGGUGAUCUUUGAGCUUUCUUCUUUUGCAUGAAUUUAAGAUUAUGUUGAAUGCUAAUCCUAUUGAUAAAUUAAUGGGAAUGCUGGUUUAUCUGGCAUUCCAAAAAUAUGUCCUGAAAUUGUACCAUUUUGUGUAAAUUUAAUAUUUUUAUUUUACUAAUGAAUUCAUUUUUGUCCAUUCUUACCCUCUCUACAAUUACGUAAACGGUUUCAAUGUCCCCAAAAUAUUGUUGUUUUCUGUCUGAUUUAUUUAUUUGUAUGAUUGAAUUGUUCAUGAUUGUCGGGCUAUAUCCAACGUAGCUUCGAUGCACAUGCAUAUGAAAGCAAUGUUAUUACUCAAAACUACAACUAACAACUUUCAUCUAUCCUUAGUCAAAUUGUAAUAGAGUAACCUAUCAUUAUCUCGAAUAAUAUUGGUGCCCACUAGCUAUAAUGACAGAGCCUGAGGACAAGGAUAACACUAAUGAAAGUGAUUAUAGUAGAAUGCAUAUCUCUCCUCUGGCUACAGCACAACCUCCCCUCUAAAUUUUUAAUAUGUAAGUAUAUUUGUUACACUAUGCACCCCUUAUGGUAGAUGUUCAUGGGAAGAAAGAAAGACCACCAAGGAUCAUCAGAGUGAGGUGAGUUAAAGUACGUUUAGACUUCAGUGGAAGAUGGAUAAUAAGAUAAGGCGAUAGUUACUAAUGGUUUUCUGGAACAUAUGCAGAUGCAAAUCACUGAAUGAGGAGACUAAAGGGUCGACACCUAGGAAAGUUGCAGUUGUUUAUCUUCUUUUUGCCCUGUUUGAAGAUUCUCAAUAUUUUUAUUUUCUUCCAAAAAACUCUUCAAUCACUAACCAAUAUGCAAGUUAACUAUAAUAUUCGUAUAAUUAUAUACAUGCAUAUCAUUCUACAUUAAAACAGAUGGACGGAACAACGUGCGUCAUGGAUGAUCUAGUUUACCAUUGUAUUUGGUUUGUUGGGGACACAAGAGACUUUUUGUUAUUUGGUUGCAGGGUUGUUUGAGAGUGACCAUCUUCACCGUACACCUCACACGGAUUGAUAAAUCUUAGGUCAUCCACUUGAGGAAAAAUUGCUAUUGUCCAACAAAACUCUAUGCUUGGAGGCCCAACACGAGUCUACAAGAAUAAAGUUGCGUAAUAGACAUCACCCAUGCAUUUAGACUGCAUACUACCGCAGGAGCGGUAGUACCGCUUGUGUGCGGGCUGAAGGCAUAACAGUUGGAUUCCCCCCUCCCCCCUCUAUAAAAGGGGGUCUUCUUCCCCAAUGUUUUUUAUCCCUUGAGCUUGUGUUCUUCCCCCAUUGUUGACCUUCUUCGAGCUUGCUAUCUCUAAUCCCUCCAAUAAUUCUUGAUAGUUCUUGAGGGAAAAGAGAGAUGAGAUCUAGAUCUAUGUUUCCACCCAUUACUUUCUCCACUAUGUGAGGGGAACCCCUUGGAUCUAGAUCUUGGAGUUCUUUGUGUUUUGCUUCUUGUUCUUCCUCUCAUAUUCCUCCAUAGCUUUUGUUGCUUUGCUAGGAUUUAAGAGUGAUGGACUUGAGAACUCCGUGUGGCCUUGCCAUUGCAUUUGGUGCAUCGAUUUGAAUUCUCCACGGUGAUACAUGGAGGUGAAAGUUGAGAAGCUUAUUGCUCUUGGGUGCUUGGUACCCUAUAGCUUGUUCCUCUUGGGUUCUUGGGCGCCCUAGAUGGUUGGUGGUGCUUCUGAGCCCAAUCAUUGUGGUGUAAAGCUCUGGGAAAGAGUCGGAGUCUCCAAUUAGGUUGUGGAGGUUGCUUCGAGCAUUUGUACGGGUUUCGGUGACCGUCUCCAAGGGUUGCCAAUUUGUAUGGUUUUAGUGACCGCCCUCAAGGGUCCCUUAGUGGAAUCACGACAUCUUGCAUUGUGUGAGGGCAUGAGGAGAUUACGGUGGCCCUAGUGGCUUCUUGGGGUGCAUUGUGUCUUCACGGCGCUCCAAACGGAGAUUAGCAUCCGGAAGGGUGUGAACUUUGGGAUACAUCAUCGUCUCCACGUGCCUCGGUUAUCUCUUAGUCAAGCCCUUUACUUACGCACUUUACUUUGUGAUAGCCCAUAGUGUUUCAUGAUAUAUAUCUUGCUAUCACUUAGUUGUUUAUCUUGCUUAGCAUAAGUUGUUGGUGCACAUAGGUGAGCCUAGUUGUUUUAGUUUUUGUGCUUGACAAAUUAAACGCUAGUUUUAUUCUUCAUUUGUUCAAGACUAAACCGUUAUUAUUUUAAAGCGUCUAUUCACCCCCCCACCCCCGCUAGAUGACAUCCACGAUCUUUCACCGGUGCAAGCUUCCUUGUCUACUGACUGCUUGGAUUGAUACUCCACUCCUGGGGGAUAGAUAUGAUAACGUAGUUUGCAUCAUAACCUAAUUUAAUUUGAAAUUCACUUCUCAUGUAAUGAUGGCACUAUUAUUUGUUCAACUUUGGAAAAUGCCCAUUGACAUCAUAUGACUUUGCUAAGUUUCAACAAUUAGGAAAUGUUGAGAGUCAAGAAGCAUGAGUUCUAUUCAUAGUAAUUCUUUUGUGUUGGUGACACAUUGAGUAAUUUUUUCAUGAGUUCCAAGGAGCUCAAAUUGUACUGAGUAUGAUAUUUUACUGCUCGACAUUGCAUCUCUAUAGUUAUUAGUAUCUCAAUAGUAAUUUGUACCAUUCAUCAAAAGGUGGGAGGUGUAGUUCUUGUAAGGCUUUCUUACGCAAAGUCAUUUGUAAAUAUCACUUGUCGAUAUCGAAUAUUUAAUACCAAUCACCUUUUUAUUCUUUCACAACAAAUUCUUUUAGCUUCUUUCACAGUUGGUAUAACAUGUGGCUUGUAUUAAUGUACAUUUGUUAUAGCAUGUUUGUAGGGUGUAGUAUAUCAUGCCGAUAUGAUUGGUCACUAGUGUUUUAAGUUAUUCAUUUAAUAUGACACAUCCCAUGUCCUUAUAAGAAGCAUAUAGUUGUGUAGCAACACAUUAGGAACUUUUGACAAACUGUUAGUCACAUAAAACAAAGAAUCUUGGUUUUUUCAAAAAUGGUAUGCAAAAGAUAGGCCUAAGAGGUGUUGGGAAUUUUCUAAUGAGUCAUAAUAUCAUUGGUGCUACCCAUGCAUGGUAGGCAGCGUGCCAGCGUCUCCCACUAUUCCACCGCGCACUGAUGUUUAUGCACUCACAACUGGCAUGAAGAACAAUGAAGAUGUCGCGAAGUGCUGCAACAGAUAGCACUUCUUCUCGGAUCCUUCUUGCGCAUAUUGAUGAUGCUCCAUCCUGGUGAGAGUGACGAGAGAAGGUAGCAUGCGGGAAGAGCAUGUCUGUAAAUGCUACUUUCUGCUCAUUGUGGGCAUUAGGAACAGAUUCACACAACCGCUUUGGAUAAGGGUUCGGCCCAUUUCACGUGCACCUUCUCUUUUCCAUACAUUGGCAUUCAUAGAAAGAAAGAAAAACAUGGAAAAUUGUGUUAUACCUUUUUUUACACCAACGUUAUACCUAGUGGGGACAGAUAACAAGUGACUCAACUUGAUUCAUUAUAACUCGUUAAGUAACAAAUGUUAGAUUUGGCAUUUUAAAAUAAAAACUAUCCACAACUACCGGAAAGGUUUACCAGAAUUUAUAAGUAAAGAGCUCUAAAUAUAGAAGAAACAUUUAAAUCAAGGUCUCUAAACCACCGAACAGCCAUUACCAGCACUAGAACAAGCCGCCAUUGUGCUCCCUUGAUGGAGCUGGCCUGACCUGGCUGACAAUAGCCGAAAAGUCUUUAUGCAUAUGCCCCUAUGCACAUGUGUUCAUUCAAAUCUUAUCAAUACUAGUAACUCCCUACAUGCAAUGCAUGUUGAUAUUAGGUAAUAUAUUAACUGCACACGGAUAUUAGGUCACUAGUAGAAAAGAGGGCUUUGGUCUAGGCCGGGUUAGCCCAUUAGUCCCGGUUCAGUCCAGAACCGGGACUAAUGGGGGCAUUAGUCCCGGUUCGUAAGCCCAGGGGCCACGUGGGCCAUUUGUCCCGGUUCGUCUGGACCUUUUAGUCCCGGUUGGUGCCACGAACCGGGACUAAAGGGUGCGAUGCCCAUUAGUACCGGUUCGUGGCACCAACUGGUACUAAAGGUUAGACCUUUAGUCCCGGUUCGAGCCACCAACCGGUACUAAUGGGGUUUGAGGCAUUCGUACCGGUUCAUGGCAUGAACCGGUACUAAAGGUCCCAUUUUCAAACUCUACCCCCUGGACCGCCUUUUUAGUUUAAAAUAAAAUAAAAGAAAAUGAUGAAAAUGUCAAAAAAAUAAAAGAAAAUAAGUUUCCCAUGUGAUAUGUGGUCUAGUUGUUGGGAAAAUUUGCAAAUGUGAAUUUCGACUUUAUUUGCAAAAUCUCUCAUAUGAAAAAUCAUCUACUCGAAAAGUUACAUCCAAAUUUAACAGGGUUAAACAUUUUCAAAAUCCUCAAAAUUCUAACAGAAAAAAGUUACGGGGCUUUUAAGAUCUAGAGUGGAAAAUUCGAAAAAAUUUAAAGUGUGGUCAAACAAUGGUCAAACUAAUUAUUCUAGAAUAUUAGUGUUACUAAAUAAUUAUUUCAGUUAUUUUGAAUUUUGGUCAAAUCUGGUCAAACUGUGGCCAAACUGUGGUCAAACAAUCGCGAAACUAAUUAUUCAAGAAAUAUUAGUGUUACUAAAUAAUUAUUGUUUUUUAAAACAAUAGUUUCAAACUCAAACAGUGAAAUGUGUCACUUCAUGGUCAAGCAAAGUUCCUGAGGGUUAAUAGGAUUGACAUCUUACUAUUUUCAGGAAAACAUCAAGUGCAGACUUGGAAACGAGGGAUAAUAGAACCCGAAAGUUAAGCGUGCUCAGGCUGGGGGAGUGGGAGGAUGGGUGACCGUUCGGGAAGUUAGAUGAUUUGGAAUGAUGAGGGGUGAUUAGAGAUUAGAGGAUAAAUUGAGCAGUGAUGAGGGUUGAUGAUUGGUAAUUAGAGGUUAAAAUAAUUCAGAAAUUUGAAAAAAUAAAUUCAAAAAAAAAUAAAAAAAAAUCAUAAAAUUUCCUUUAGUCCCGGUUGGUGUUACCAACUGGGACUAAAGGUGGAGCUCCACAUGGCCGCGGCCUUUAGUCCCCGUUCGUGUAAGAACUGGGACUAAAGGGGAGAGGCAUUAGUAACGACCCUUUAGUCCCGGUUCAAAAACCGGGACUAAAGGGCCUUACCAACCGGGACAAAAGCCCCUUUUUCUACUAGUGGGUAGGAUAUUAUUUGUGUUUAUUAUGUGAUUAGUGUUGCAAUUUAUAUUUGGUAUGAUAUUAAAUGCAUGCUAAACCUUUUGGGCACUCACCAUUGGAGCAACCUAUGUCGUUGGAUCGACCUGGAUUGAUGGCCGAGAUUUGUUGUAUCUGCCUCUUUGGAUGUUUUUAUAUCGUUAUAGAUGUGAAAGGACUAUGUACCACGUCACAUGCAAAUUCUAAAAACUAAGUUACACGCCUUUAAUCGUUUUAUGCAAUUUUUAUCAUGGCUGCUAGGGUUUCCUCGCAAACAUUAGCUACCUAAGCUCAUCAUUAAGUAUGAUUGUUCAAUUUUCUUGCUUAAUAUGCGGGGUGUUUGAAACAUGAGAUUUAAUCAAAAGAUCUCAAGUACGGGUAUCAAACCCACGGGAGGAUGGGCUUUAUGACAAAGAUUCUAGCAAGUAUUAUUCUAGUAAAUUGUUCCAGUUGCCUGAACCUUUUAAAUAACAGAACCUUUUUGGUGUAAACCGUGAUAUGGAAAUAGGCAUGGGUAUGAGGACUUGCUUAUGUAUGGGCUGCCGUGUUGAUUUACACUAUAGUUUUGGUGUACACGCGUUAUGAUGUGCUCACACCAAGAUGAAGUGAGGGAUGUGUCCAAAGUAUGUCAUGACAGGUUAGUAACCUGCGUCGAGAGUCAGUCAUCCAACCGCAGCCCCUUAGCAUCUCGCGGGAUUACCUCGGUUAUUAAGGAUUUCUCUAGACAAAUUUAUGUUUUGAUUCACUUGAACAUUUUUCUAAAAAUAUCACAAACCUUUUUCGCAAUGGUGCAAAACAUUUUUUAAAUAACACCAACAUUUUUUCUAAUGAAUAAACAGUCUUUUAGAAAUAACAAGGAAAUUAGUUUUAAAUGCGUGAACAUUUUUGAAAUGUUAAUGCUAUCAAUUUUUUUUCAAAAGUUGGGUGAACAUUUUUUGGCAUUGCGCUGAUAUUUUCUAUAAUUGAGUAAAUAUCUUAUUGAUUUCUUUUAGAAUUUUUGAACUAUAAAAAAAGAUAGAAAAGAAAAAAAGACGACUAAACACAUACAUAAGAAAAGUGUUUAUACUUCCCUCAAAAGAAAAUUGUUCAAUGUUUAUACAUCAGAAACAAUAUUUAUACAUGUUUAAUAUUUUACAAAUACAUGUUUUUUUUCAAAAAUAUGUUUUGAUGUCUACUUCUUUUCAUACACAUUUUAUAUUUUUCGUAUACAUCUGAAAUAUUAUUUUUAUGCACAUUUGAAAAAAAAAUCAAAUAUAGGACUAAGUUUUUUUCAAAUAUAUGUUUUCAAAUACAUGUUGAAACAUUUUUUCAAAUGAUAUGAAAUAUUUUGUAAACUAUGCAAACAUUUAGUACAUUGUAUAACCAUUUCUAUAAAUGGCAUGAAUAUAUUUUUGACACGCUUGAACAUUUUUUUAAUGUAAUCUACAAUUAUGAUGAUCGAGCUCUACUUGUGUCAUCUCUACUGAAAUAGGUGCUUCCGUGACAAGUGUUUGUCUCUAGGAAACAAAUUAAUAAAUAGCAUGACCUGAGAUUUUCAACUAUGUAGAUGGACCUAUAUUUGUCCUUCUAACCUAUCAGUUCUUGGGAGAGGAUCAAUUUCUCUACUAAUUGACUUCUAGAUGUAUUUGUCCUUCUACCUGGCAAGUUGGUAGGUAUAACUUCCAUUUUGUACGGUUUGUAAUUCCUUGAAUAUGAACUCCAAGAGUUCUCUUGGGGUAGAGUUGAUUAAUAGAAUAACGUCACAUGAGGGAUGAAGCCGCCAAAAUAUCAUGCAUUGGCCAUUUACCUUUCUGUUCUACAAUACACAAAGCCUUGGUUGUAGAUAUACUAUGGUGAAAACAAUAGUGUUCUGAUUUUAUUGCUUACAAUCUUGCACUAUUCUUUUAAAUCUUUUUUUACAAAAAGGAGGUUGACCCCCGGCCUCUACAUACGAUCUUGCACUAGUAACUAGCUCCAUUUGUUGUUUGGUGAAUCGGUAAUGAUCUUUUGUUACUUCAUGAUUCCACCCUGUCGAAUGAAUAUUGACUCAUCCUGUAAACCAUGAUUUCAACCGUACGGCAAAUUAAGAUAGUAUACUAAAAAAUAUCAAACUUCAAAUGCUGGCUCCAAAGACUUUCAAGGAGUGUUCGUUCACCUCAAGAAACAUGGCGAAAAGGAAACGUGGUGGCCAAAUUUUGGUCAUGUUUGCGUCAAAACAUUAAUGCUUCACUCGACUGUCACCAGCAGCGGUGCCCGUGGUGACUUCAUUGGUACUAUCAACGCAAAUAUCCUCCUUUUUCCAGCAAAAAAUGGAAGGGGGAAGAGAUAGGUGGAGUUAUGAAAAAAAAUGUUCUCUUGAUUCGCUCCAGAUCUUCCGGUCUCCAAGCCGAGUUACUCGUCCUCUUAACUUCCAUAAAGAUUGGUGUUAGAAACAUUAUUUCUUCGUUCUCCUAAAGUUCAAUAUUUCCCUUGUAAAUUUGUUCUUUGUGAGCGUGUGCUCACGUGUUAUAUGUGUUGUGAAUCAAAUAGUUAAUAUAAUUCUUCCGAUCCUAAUUAUCAAUGAGAUCCUUAAUUCAGACCUUGUUCGCGGUGGAAGAAGUUGAUUUUGUUUGGUUACAAUCAUUCAUGCUCGCGGUGGAUGAAUUUUGAGUAUCUAGUUAUUGAGAACAAGCAGUUUGUUUUUGCAUCACUUUACAGUGUAUUUUUUAUGUUGAUUCCGCAAUUGGUAUAACAUGUGAUGUGCAUUAAUAUACAAUUGGCACAACACGCUUUUUAUUAAAGACACACAACACCCUUUGGUGGGUGUGGUCUCUCGGCCUAACUUCUAUUUUCCACGAUACUAUAACAAGUACUCCUUUGGUGGGUGUUAACAGUAUAUAGCAUGCCAACAUAUGGUUGGUUACCCAUUUGUAAUAAGUUAUUCAUUCAUUGUGACGCCUCACAGUUUGGGUGCACACCCCAUUUCCCUAUAAGUAGCAUAGUAGUGGUGAUUGGUGAAGCAAUACAUAUUUUUUUUGGAAAACACAUUUGUCGCGAAAACAAGAUAAUCUUGUGUUCAUGAAUAUCAGUAUGCAAUCUGUAGUCUUGUGGAGUUGCGGGAAUUUAGCAAUGAGGCCCACUACAGCUGGCGAUAGUUCUGCAUGGUCAGCAGCAAACCGGUGUCUGCUCCCACUCCGCCUCUCGUGGUCAUUUAUGCACCCACCGCUGGCCUGGGAAACCAGAGAGAUGUGUGGAAGCACGGUCCAUCAUCUUCCUUCUGCUCUGACCGUGAGAAGUAGGCGACGGCUAUAGAAUCCCUUGCCUUCCUCUCGGGACUACCUGACCGGUUGCCGGCGCCGCGACUGCCACCGCGCACCUUCUCCCUGAUGGCCGGCAUUCCCGACUUCCGAUGAAGAAACGUCUGCUCAGCUAAUAGGGAUUGCUGCCUAGUCUAUCGACUGGGACAGAAAUUGCAGGUCAUGCAUAUUAAAUUCAUAGAUUAAAAGAUUAUUGGUUAGAUGACAAAUUCAUUCACGUGUACAUCUCUUUACUAGACACUAGUUGGUGCAGAGGCCGGGGAAGUGAAAUUCUCCCCCGAUUUUAUAUGCGACAACGUCUAGAUGCUAGUUUAGAUGAUGAGCUACCGGCCGAGUGUUGAAAGGAGAGGUUAUGAGUGCCGGACGGGAAGAUAUUUUGAGGCAGCGGUAGCGUCAGAAGAGAGACCGAACCUCCGUGGAGAUUUGGUUUGGGUGUAUCUAACUAACAUUGACUAUUUUCACGUUAAAACAAAGAGGUAUGUUUGGGGGGCCACGACGGCAUCUUUGCCACCCGUCUUAUCACGGUGUGGCACCAGGGAGCUCGCCUUUGCCCGGGUGGGGUAGGGUGGGGCAGUGUAAGCUAGGUCUUGCCAGGGGGCUGCUCGGGUGGGGAAGGAGGCGUCUUCCCGCCCGUCUCUCCUAUUGUCUAGGUUACAAGCACUGGGCAAGGAUGGAGUUGGUUCCAUGGACGCCGGUGUGGUGGCCUUAGUGGUGUGAGCCGUGGUGCUCGAAGGAGGAGCUCACAGCUUAGGCACUUUUUCGUGACCAUGGUCCUGUGGGCGGCGUGGUGACUAGGGUGUGACAUUCGAUGGUUGUAGUGCGGUCGUCUGUGCCUCCAUCGGUGGUAGUUAGUGCUGGCUAGGGUCAAAACUUGUUCUGACUUGUCAGACCAGCGUCAGCAGCGUUCUAGUGUCGUCCCCUUCUUGAAUGCGUUGUCACGGGCACUCACUGUUUGCCGCGAUGCUUCGGGGAAAACCCUCAUCCUCAGAUUUUGCAGUGCGGCACACCGGUGUCGUUCCCUUCCUAAAGGGGUUGCUUUGGAUCGUCAUACAUGGCUUCCUCUCAUUGCGGUGGCUUGGUCACGAAUGAGGGCCCCGACAUCUCCAUAGUGAUGUUUAUUGUCCACUUGUUAUUGGUUGGGAGUUGCUUGGGGUAGUUUGGUUGUUCUCGACAUCUUUGUAUCAUGCCUUGGGUGUUUUCUGUGUUGUGGCGUGUGUUUGCAUCAAUGUAUUUGUAUCGGCUGGCUCGGUGAUUGUUGCUUUAUAUAUAAAGUGGGGAAAACCCUUUUUCGGUAUGGCAAGAUCACAUCUCCUCAUUCUGGCUUUCCAAGUCCCUUUGCAAGGGACUUAUGUACUAAUUUAUUUUGAAAUGCACCUCAUCUAAUUGUGUAACUAUUUUAUCAUUCGACUUUCAAAUGCCUAUUGGCAACUUAUGGAUUUACUAAGUUUCUACAACUUGUCUAUGACCUUUAGAAAAUUGGGCAGAAGGAAGCAAUUCUGUUAACACUAAUCUUGAUUCAUGCAUAGCAACUUUAGAUUGAGUUCUACUUGCAACUAGUUAGGUGUUUAUUGAAGGCGUGCCAUGAGCCAAUGAAGCUUUAGCUAUACGUGUGAAGGAGGUAAGAUGUCAAGCUUCUGCGUGAGGCGGCGAACUUGGUAGCAGCCGUCCCCGAGGUUCCAAGGUGCCUCCAUUGGUGCUCCUAAUGCAAAACUCCUGCUUUUUCAUCCAUAAAAAAUAGAAAGGUAAAGAGAUAGAAGGAGACUGGAAUUUUUUUUUCUAUUGAUCCACUCUCGAUCUUCAAGUGUCCCACCUCAGGUACUCUACUUCUUCACAUCCGUAAAAAAUGAUGCCCAUAUGUAUUAUUUAUUCUUUCUCCUUGAGAUCAAGGUUUCAUCUAAAAAAAUAUUUGUGUGUGCGCGCUCAUAUGCGUUAUGUUUUCUUACACAAUCAAGUAAUUGAAUCCGUGAGAUAUCCCGGAGUCAUGAGUUGAUUUCAUCAAAUCCUAAGUACAAAUGAGAUAGUAUAGUUUAGGCAUACUUGAUGGUGGAAGAAGUUAAUUUCGUUUGGUUGUAAUCAUUCAUGUUCAAGUUAGCAAAGUUUGUUCAUAAUAAAUUUUUGGGUUGGUGUGAACGGUAAGGAAACUUUUCAGGAGAUAAGUGGAGCUGGUGAUGUAUCGAAGAUGAUACUUUAGGGAUCGAUAUUGCGUCUUUGUAUUCCCUUUUAUCUCAGUAGUAAGCUCUACCGAGUUAUUACUCUUAAAAGUUUUUCAUCCAAAAGUUGGUUGAGUGGUUUGUGUAAGGUUUUUUACGCGAAGUAUAUUGCAAACUCUUCUUGUUGCCAAGAUAUAUUAAAUUAUGAAUACCAAGCGGUGUAUUUUUUUGCAUCAUUUUACGAUGGAUUUUCUACUCACUUUUGCAACUGGUGUAACAUGUGGUUUGCAUAAGCACAAUUGGCAUAUAAUUUUUGUCGGGUGUAGUAUCCCAAAGUAACUUUCUCAGAAUAUAGCAACAUAUCUCAUGAUAAAUGGUUGGUCACUUGAUGGGGGCGCACACAACAUAUCCCUACAAGAAGCAUAGUUGUGAAACAAUACAUAGAAGGGACACACUAUCGGUCCCUAAAACCAAAGUACCUUGUUUUCAUGAGAAAAAAGGGUGUGCAAACUAUAUGAAUGAGAGGUAUCAGAAAAAGGGGUCCCAUUGAAAUCAUGGUGGACGUCAUUGUGAGUUCCCCUACCUAGUGCUUGAAUAGAACCUUCACACCAAUGAGACAGACAACUAAAGGCAGUUUGUAGCACAACCUCCCACCAUAUACCAUGGAUAGACGUGGGCCCAAAUAGAAAUACCGUAGCACAUGUCUAUUUGUGUUGGCUAAGGUUAUACCUAGAUAGAAGCAUAUGUGGUGCAAAAAACAAAAGGUAUCAUAUGUGUGUUCCCAAGAGAAAAUCAUGCCACACAAGCCUAAUUUAAUUUGAACUGCACCUCUCAUCUAACUGCGUAUCUACAUUAAGUAGUUUAUACCAUUCACCUAAUCCAACAAUGUCCAAAGCUACAAUCUCUUUCUCUUUUCCCCAACCAUAGACCCUCCACCUAAGGUCUCCUCCAUGCUGCCACCUCAUGACCAUCUCCUCUUUUCCAUCCAAUGGCAUCAACGACGACUAGAGGAGUAGGGCUCCGUUCACAUUUUGGUUCUAGUAGGUCCUUUUUACCCUUAGGUUUUCGUUCCUUGGAGGCAUCUGCGAGGUGUGUGGCGGAGAUGAUACAUUCAAAUAAGGUCUCUUUGGCCUCUCCCAACCUUGACGAUGUCCGAGUCAGCGUGAAAAAGGGCCUCCGAGGGUACGUCCUGCCAAAACUGCUAGCCCUAUUCGUAUCUAGUUAGUUGGUGUGUUAAUCAAGAGAAGUAGUUGGCUGGUUGUUGGCACAGCUAAUUCAAAAAAAAUCAUCUUUCAAUUGUUGUAUCGAAAAGCCUAGUUUCUCCAACUAUCUGGACUGGUGGUGAAGGAUUGCAAGCUUCGACGUGUGGGGUGAUCCCAAGCCGAUGUUCCUUCACCUGUUAUGAGAUCUCAUUUCUAGAGGUGUGUGGCUAUUGAGGUAUUCAAAGCCUUAUAUGGGAAGGGUGUUUGCUUGUGUUCCAUUCCCAUAAUGUCUAUUAAGUGCAAUUUUAAAGCUUCGAUGGGCGACAUACAAUCGAAGGAAAACAACCUGCAUAUCUUUUGAGGUGAUUUUUGUUUCUGCUUGGCAUUUAUGUGUUGUUGUCUUUACAAUGUUGUUAUUGCUUUCCUUGAUGAAUAUCUGAUGUAAGAUGCCUUUUGGGUGUCUUUCCUAAAAAAAGGUAUUGGUGCACGCCGAGUAAACUUUUCAUGACAUCCACAGAGUUGGCAAUAUGCUCAUUAUGAUACUGUACUACUUGUCAUUGCAUUUAUGCAGUCAUUUUUAUUUCAAUAGAACUUUUUACCUGAGUUAUUCUUAAAAAUGGUUCAUAGAAAAAUCGGUGGUGGUGGUUUUCGCAAGGUUAUUUACGCAAUGUCACUCGUAAAUAUCACUUGUUGCUAUCAAAUAUGCAGUUAUAUUGAUAUGAAUCACUUUCUUUUUGCAUCAUUUUACAAUGAGAUUCUUCUGCACUUAGUAUACCACGUGGUUGGUAUUAAUGUACAUUUGGCAUAACAUGUUUGUUGUGUGUGGUAAAUAAAAUCUCAACCUACUUCUAUUAUCCAGGAUAUAAUAACAAUAUAUAACACGCCAAUAUGAUUGGUCACUAGGGUUUUAAGUUAUAUCCAUUCAAUGCGACACCAUACGGUAAAUGGUGAAUAAUUUGGUGGGGCACAUAUACCAUAUACUUAUAAGAAGUAUAGUAGUGAAUCAAUACAUCAAAAAAUUGGGAAACAGUUGGCCCUAAAAACCAAGUAACUUGCAAAACAAAGAUCAUAUCUCUUUCCUCCUCCACAAGAAAAGUUCUUCUCCUCCCGUCGGCGCCACCGCCGGUCCGUCCCAUCUCCGAUGGCCUCUAGGCCAUGGAGGUGCAGUGUAUCUCGCCCUCCCCCCCAGCGAGAGGGACCCCGUUCUCACUCUUGUUAGAGUUAGCGCCUUGGUUGGGGCUCUGUGGCAGUGGCGAUGUCCGUUAGUAGGAAUAAUGUCUCCCCGUUCUAUCCCCGUCCCGAUGGUGCGUCAAGCAACGUCGGAGGACGUGUGGAGGUUUGUCUCCGUCGGAUCUUGCGGGAUUCGGUCGGUGCCGGUCUCCGGUGGAUCUAUUUGGAUCCAGUCUUCGUUUAGGUGUUUACAGGUUUGAUCCUUCUGAUCUACGAAUUUCUUCAUCGACGAUAGUUGCUAUUCUGGUGUGCUGGUUCUAUGGGGCCUUAGCAUGACGACUUUCUGACUGUCUACUACAAUAAGGGUUGCCCGGCUCCGGUGAGGGAGGGGCGAUGACGGCGACGCGCCUUUGGCUCGAUCCAGUGCUUGUAGUCGUCGCUAGGUGGUCCACGUACAUGGUUGUAGUUUUCAUUACCUCCGUUGUUCUUUGUACUACCAUGAUUGAAGAUGAAUAGAUUGGAAGUUUCUCGGAAAAAAAAAACAAAGUAAUUUUGUUUUCUUGAUAAAUGGUAUGCAAUCAGUAGGCCUGAGAGUUGUUGGGAAUUUAGCAUGGAGUCCUCAUACAGUUGGUAUUACCACUGGAUGAUACGCCGCAAGCCGGCGUCUCCUUCGGACCUACCAUGGUCAUUCUCAAACGGUGACCUCUUGUCCAAGCUGCCUCCUACAAACUGGCCCUCCACUGUGGCAUGAGAGACGACAGAAGGCUACGCAUUCGGUGUUGGCGUAGGUUGUACAGAGAGAGAGGGAGAGAGAGAGAGAGAGUCCAUGCACGCUAAAACAAACUGUUGUGUGCAUGCAUUGAUCCCAGAAAGAGAGAGAAUCCAUGCCCGCAAAAAAAAAGAGAAUCCAGGCACGCUAGCUCAAUUCUUUUUUGAAACGAAGCAAAGAACUUCCAUUUAUAUUAGUUCAUAAGAGAGUGAGAAUUUAGCGGUUAAUUUGAGGAAACCAGUCACCUAUUAUCUGUUACCAGAAAAAUAUAUGAAAUGCACCGAUUAUUUAUUUAAUUUUUGAGGGAAAAUGCACCGAUUAUCUGACUGUGUAACUAUUACAUCGUUCACCCUGGGAAAGUGGGCUACUGGCAACAUAUGCCUUUGUUGAGUUUCAACAUUUAGUGAAGUUUAGAGAGUCAAGAAACAUGAUUGUGUUCAUGAUAAAUAUUUGGUUCUCGUGCGGCACUGUGUAAUUUUUUCAGGAGAUCCGGAGAGCUGGCGAUUUACUGAUUUUGAUACUUUAAUGCUUAACAUUGAAUCUUUGUAAAAAAAAUUAUCUCAACAGUAAUAUGUACCAAGUUUAUCUCAAAUAUUGUCCAUCAAAAAGUGGGUGAAGUGGUACAUGUAAGGUUUUCUUUAAUAGUACAAAGUCACUAGCAACUAUUAAUUACUGAGACAAAAUGCUUUAUUUUUGCACCAUUUUAAAAUGAAUCCUUUUUUUGGCGAAAAAUGAAUUCUUUCACUAGCUCUUUUGCAAUUCAAAUAUCACGUGGUCACUAUUAUUGUACAAUUCGCAUAGCAUGUUUGUUCGGUGCAACGUCUCACUAUAACUUAUUUUCUUCGGGGUAGAACUAUAUAUAGCAUGGCAAUAUGGUUGGUCACUAGUUUAUUAAGUUAUUCAUUCAUUACGUCACCAAAAAAAGUAUUAGGUCAUUCAUUCAUUACGUCACCGCUUGAGGAUGAAUAUUUUGGUGGGGCGCACAUACCAUGCCUUUAUAAGAAGCAUAGCUGUGCAUGGAUACGUCAAACAAAUUGGACAACUGUUAGUUCCGAAACAAACUAACCUCUGUUUUCAAGAAUAAAAAUGUAUCUUGUUUUGAUGAAAAACGGUUUGCAAACUGUUGGCCUGAGAGGUGUCGGUAAUGUAGCAGUGAUUGCCAAUCAGGUUGGAGGUGCCAAUCAGUAUGAGACGUGUUUGGUUGCCAGCAUACACCUCGAUCAGGCCCGCGCGUGAAGGAUCCAGCCUGUUUGGUAGCCCGCAUACACUAUUGGACCUGCAUCGCACGCUUCUUAAAGCACCUCUGGGCCUGACUCGCUGGGAACUCUCAGAUCAGCAGUUUCUCUAGAGCCAGACCAAGCAGAAGCGCGGCGAGCGGGCCCCUGUACGAGGAGAAACGGGAGGGAUGCGAGGUGUUUAGGUCGUGUCUUCUUCAACCUCCAUUAAGCUCUUUUCUGAUCUCCUCUCUUUCAUGCCCCUCUAAUCUACACAACGAUGCUUUGAUUCGUGGUAAGCUCUACAAGAAAAAGAUGCACAUCGAUGCUACGGUUUCAUUCAGGUGAUCGGUUUGUAGUUUGGUCGAACGUACAUGCUCAAUUUCUUGUUCCCGUUUGGAGCUGUUUUGUACUAAUUUUGUCAGAUUCUUCGCCCACGAUCGAUUGUUUGAAAUUUCCUUUGACCAGUAGCCUAAUCUCGCAGUUCUGCAUAACAUUCGUGUUGCACGUUUUCUGUUUGAACAAUCGUAGACGAGAAGAUCCACAUAUUUCUCAUGGUUGUACAUAUGAAUAUGUGUGCUAUGAUUUAAGACACUGCUUAAUUACACCUCUAGCCGGCGUGAUUUCUCUUGAUCUCCUCUCUCGCAUCUUUUUUGGUAGCGUCAUCAUCGCCGUCGUUCAUCUCGGCCUUCUCUCCAUGAUCCUACUGCAGUUAAGCCGCCAUGUCGCGCACACUGACGGGUUUCUUCUCCUCUGUUCUCUGCCACUGACGGGGUCAAUCAUCUUGGCCUCCUCCCGGCCUUCUCUUUCUCGUCCUACUACACUGGAGUCAUUUUUGGCGUCGAUCAUCUCAGCUCCUCUCUCUCGUCCUACUACACUGACGAUGCCAUGGUGUGAGCACUACAUUUCUCCUCCUCUGUCCACUGUCUUUGCGCGAGCACUCCAACUAGUUCGCCGACAGGGUCGCUCGCCCAUGACUCCGUACUCGUCAUGUCGGACACGGCGCCACGGUCAUUGCCCACCGUAGUCGCCAUGGUCCGGCGCAUACUGCAUUUCUUCUCCCCUUCCUCUGCUAGCUCUUAACGUUGUGUGCUAAUUGCAAGUGCCAACUCGUAAUCAUACCCCAUGUGGGCAACCAAACAGCGUGUAGUUGUAUGCGCCGAGACAAUGCAGGCAACCAACCAACAUGCCAAAGUUGAUCCCUUAAUGUAGGAAGUCCAUAUGCAGGCAACCAAACAACUCGCAGGUGUUGCAUAUGAUGUUGUUUUUUCAUAGCCAUGCUAGGUUGAGAUGUGUAUGCAACGCGGGUACUGUUCAGGACAGCAACGAAACACGCCCAUGGUGUGGGAUGAGGGAAGAAGGCCCGAGGUGCCUAUCAGGUCAGGAACAGAGGACAGCGGUGUACGUCACAUCAUCCCACCCAUAGUCUCGGAUGGAGGCGGGCCCAAACAAAAAUAACGCAGCCCAGACCCAUUCUUGUUGUCAGGACCAAAGAAAACGCAGCCCAUGCCCGUUCGUGCCGGUAGGAUUGAAUAUAUGGACUGAUUGCAAGGCCCAUUCGGAGCUGUUUGGUUCUAUGCCUUGGAUUGCCACACUUUAUCUUAUUUUUUUUAUCAAACUCGUCUAAGAUUAGUUUAAUAAAAUGGGAGUCACAAGUUGGCAAUUCUAAUAAAAUGUUGCCAUAAUUUUUAUGUGUAUGAAACGUGGGGCCUUAGUGUGACUUUUCUAAGGUGUGGCUUGAAUCAAAUACCCACCUAAAUUUGUUAAAAUUGCUUAACUUUAGAUGUAGAACCUUUAGCAAACUUAAUCCCAAACCAAAUAGCCGAAAUAUGUCGCACUGUGUUAGCCAUCAUCUCUCUUAGUCUUCUGCCUUCAACGAACGUCCCCGGCUCCCUAAAACAACAACAUCCCUGCGGUCGGAGGUGCAGAAGUGCAUGUUGUAGAUAAUGCAAUCAAAAGACCGAUCUGAUGGAAGAGACUAUGCAAAAUAUUUAUACGUCAAUACUCGCCCUCACGUGUUACACUCUCAAGCCUAAAGGUGGACCGAAAAUGGGCUACUGUGUAGUUGUGUCAGCCGGGUCUGGAACUAAGACCUCUUGGCUCUGCUACCAUGUAGAAGUGCAUGCUCUAGCCGAUAUAACCACAAGAAUGAUCUGAUGAAAGAGACUAUGCAAUAUAUUUAUACGUCAACAGGAGGGAAUCACGCGAGCGGCACAUCGUUGGGUGGUCUUAGGAGCGUGUAUAAGGGGACGACCAUCGAGAUCCCUAACGAGGCCUCCAUCCCUCCCGGUCCUCCUUGACACAAAUCACGCCUAGUCACCCAGAGGCCAGGGCAUCGAUGUCGCGAGCUCCAUCGGUUCGAAAAUGACAGGUACUCGAGGGAGAAGAUGGCUUACAACGAGUAUUGAUCAGCGCCGAUCCCGAGUGCCGGAGGCGCUGCUGAUGCCUCCUGUAUGGCGUCCUCGAUCUGGAGGUCAGCUUCACUACGCACAUGGAGACUUUGGGCGUAAGGUGCUUGAGGAAAUGCCUCAUGCAAAUCCUCGCCGUCCGCGCUACCAUCCCCUGUGUAAAGGCCGAAGAAAUGGUUGACAUGACUUCUUCCUGUGGAUUUCCAUGGUAUGUUGGUUGGUUUUGGUCCGUUGCAGGACAUUCUUUCGAGACUCUACAAAUUUGUUAGAUCAUGCAUGAUGUAGGAGUGUUCGGCCUGGAUUAAGCAACUCAAACAACAAAUCAUCCAGAGUUGGUCAUGCCUAUCAUUUCUACGCCUGCAACAACAAUCACCACGAUUUGCAACACUCUGAAUGAUCUAAUUAUGUAACAACAACUAAUGAUAAUAAUACUAGGAACAGUAAUAAUAGUAGUAAUAAUAAUAAUAAUUUCCAUGGUAUAUGGCACUAAUGUUGGAUACACCGGUGCAAUAGUUAUUUCUUAGGAAUACCAAUAUACUUAUUACAGGUAUAUCUAUUUAUUAAAAAAUAAAAUUACUCCAUCCGAUACAAAAUAAGUGUCGCAGUUUUGAACUAAGGUCUGUGCCACUUAUUUUGGUUGGAGGGAGUACUAAAAGCUUCCAACUCGCCUCAAAAGUAAACACACAAAAUUUCAGCAUAACGUUUCGACAUACAUUUCAUAAUUAUGAUAUAGUAACCUACUGUAGUUGAUUAGCUUCAUAUGUAUGACCGCAUUUCUGGUCAUGUUUACAAAGACGAAGCACUGGAUGGGUUAUUGCUGUAUGGAAUCAAGUGGGUAAUCCUUGUCAGGUGGAAUUAUGUUAUAGCACCUCAAUGUUCACAUGCACAGGUCAAAUUUGAAUAAUAAUAUAAUAGAAGUGUGUUGAAAGCUUGGUUUUUAUAGCUCUGGAUAGCACCUUUGAUUUUAUUUUCUUUUUACUAUUGUUAGAUUAACUAACCAAGAAAUUCCAAGGAAUCCGUAACUUGUUCAAAUAAUAACUAAAUUGUAAUAACUAGAAGAUCCAGCAAUUUUGGAAACUGAAACAACAGCAUCACAAGAUUAAAUAUAGUGUUUGGCGGAGACGAAUUUUAGAAUUUUAUAUCAUUAACUGUUAGUAGAACAUGUUGUGCUUCCUAUCCUGAAACUUGACCAAUAGCAUGCAUCGGAUUCACCCAGUAUCCCAUAUGCACCGUUUCCCCUAGUUUAGUGUAGUUCUACUGACGGAAUUUUUGGGGACUAGUUGACGGAAACGAAUGACAAUUAGCACACUAGCUACAUGCAAACUAGUACUCCUAAUUACCUAGCAAGGCCCAUGUAUGAGAUCAGACGUUCCAGGCCUAGAGACAUCAAUCCAGCACUAGUCUGAUGGGAAGCCAACUAUUACUAGUCUGAUGGAAUCGGUGGCGCCCUGCCGCCCAAGAAGGCCCAAGAAGGACCUCCACUUGUUCGUCAAGUGGCCCAAGGUCAUGCGCAUCCAGCGCCAGCGCCGCAUACUCAAGGAGCGCCUCAAGGUGCCCACGGCACUCCUCCAGUUCACCCGCACCCUCGACAAGAACCUCGGUAUAUACGAAACUUGCCUGUUCAUUCGUCGCUGGAUUCGGACUCCACAAUGCCUGAGGUUGUUUAGUUGUUGUGCUGUAUUAUUUUGAGCGAGUAUUAACUUGGCUAAGAUAAUCAAAAGUGAUGGAUGUGUUUUAAGGCCCUGUUUGGUUCAGAAGUCCUAAGACUUUUUUAGUCCCAACUUAUAAGUCCCAAGUCCCUAAAAAGUCUCUACCUGUUUGGUUCCUGGGACUUAUAAAUUCCUAUAAGACCAUAUUACAACUAUAAAAAGUCCCUAUAAAACUCUCCUUGAGAGUCUUAUUUCAUAAGUCCCAAUCCCACUUUAAGUCCCUAUAAGUCCUUCCUGUUUGGUUUAGAUGGGACUUAUAGAGACUUUUUUAAGUCCCUAAACCAAUAAGUCCCUGGAAACAAACACCCUCGAAGAUUCCUGCUGGUAGAUACAUUGGGAGCCUCUUCUUCCGUGAUAAGGGCAUUGCAUGCUGUUGUCCUACAUUUUUCGAAAAGGGGCGCUUUAUUACUUAAAAGGUUUUGCUGUUGUCCUACAUACAUACUACUAUGUUUAUUUUAAUGAAUAUAUUGACAUGACAUCACACUAUGAAGUAAUAGACUGGUUAGCAGAAGCUUUCACUUCUAAGGAUGCCAGCAGUACGAAGAAUCGUUGUAGUUAAGUGACUGUGUGGCUGUUGUGGCCUUGCUAUGUGUGUACCUGAAGUCACACCUAUAUAAUUGCUUUUCCUUUAUGUUGGAACGUGUCUAGUUAAUGAUCGGUAUUGACAAUUUUUGGUGGUUACUUAUGCUUAUUGUGUAUCACAUUAAAAAAGAAAAUGCACAAUGAGCUUACCUUUGUAUGUCAAGAUUUUUACUUUAUCUAUUACCCUUUUGCUGUAGUUUGUCUUCGUACAGAAUCCAAUCUUAGUGUUCUUCCUAUCUUAAAAAGAAAAUGCACAAUGAGCUUACCUUUGUAUGUCAAGAUUUUUUCUUUAUCUGUUACCCUUUGGCUGUAGUUUAUCUUCGUACAGAUUUGGUGGUUAUUUAUGCUUAUUGUGUAUCACAUUGAAAAAGAAAAUGCACAAUGAGCUUACGUUUGUAUGUCAAGAUUUUUUCUUUAUCUGUUACCCUUUAGUUGUAGUUUAUCUUCGUACAGAAUCCAAUCUUGGUGUUCUUCCUAUUUGCAUUUGAUUAUGUUUUUAAAAUUCCCUAGCACAACUAUAUAUAACAAUGUGGGUAUGUGUUUACCUCUCCUGUUUUUACUGUUAAAGGUGUCCAAUUUGGUUCUGUUCUGUCACACCCUAGCUAGUCAUGCAUUAGAGUGUUGCAUCAUGUUUACUCUUUUAUCAGAAACUUGAAAUGGGGAUGACAGAACCCCCAGUCCCCUCUGAAACCAACUAGGGUUACUAAAAUAAUUUUUCAAUGAACCUGAAAUGCCCUUCUAAAAUGCCCAUCAUUUUUGUCUUGGUUCAGAACCUCUGCCAAAAGUGGUGCACAUUUUCCUAGGCCAUCCUAGGGUUUUUGAAUUAAAUCAUAAAUAUUUGAAUUUGGGCAUUUAAAAUAAUAUAAAAUAUUCAAAUGCUCAAAUAUCUCCAAACUAAAAUGUUUCAUGUUGGAAAUAAUCCAACUAUGGGCCAGGAAUAGUUUGGUGAUUUUUGAAGUUGCCUAGGUAUUUUAUUUAAUUCAACAAAGUUGCAGAUAUAUUAAAUAAAAACAGAAACAGAAGAAAAUGAAAAGGCUUACCUGUCGCCCACCAGCCAGCCCACCUGGCCGGCCCAGCCCGGCCACCGCUCCAGCGAGCUGCUUGGCUUGCCAGGCAGGCAGCCAAGGUGCUCGGCGGCGGCACCGCAGCUCGCCACGCAGCUGCUCGCCGCCUCGCCGCCUCCCUCGCCCGGCUAACGCCGUGAACCGGCCUCCCUCUCUCCCCCGAACCCCCCAGACACCCCCUCUCCUCUCCAGCUCCUCCCCCUCGCACGCCCCAGCCAUGGCCGACGCCACCGUCGCCGCACCACCAUCGUAGCCGUGCUCCCCGUCGUCUCCACACCGCGCCACCCUGUCCAGAAGCUCCGCCGUCCUCUACUCCUUCGAGCUAGCCGAGCCCCGAGCGCUCGCGUGCCUCGAAGCCGCCGCACCGACCUCGCCCGAGCUCGCCGUCGCCGGAGAUCCCUUUCAACGCCGUCGCUGCCUCAGCUCGUCCCCGACCCCGCCGGUGGCCUCUACGGGAGCGUUGUGAGCCUAGCUACUCCUCCGACCCUCUCCCUCUCAUUCCCGAGCUGUGUAGCCACCGCACGAGGAUCACACGCCCGCACCGUCGCGGACCUCGUCGCCGACGUGCUUCCGGCCACACUCCGGCCACAAGAUGGUGUCCAUCUUGCUCACCGAGUCCCACAGCACCUAGCUAGCCACUCCACGAGCCUCACCGACCCCUCUAGCGCCAAGUUCAUCCUCGACCGAACCCCGGUGGCCGCCAAAGUCGUCGCCGGCGCCAACUCCGGCCACCCCGACCCCAACGGACUCCGCCAAGAGCUGCGGUUUGUCCUCAGCUCCACUCCGGUGGUCUCCGCGGUCCAUUUGGUGGCCGAAAUGGCCAAAACCACUCCCGCCGCCGCGUCGGGCUCGCCGGCGGCUAAACGCCGGCAGCCGACUUUGACUUUGACCACGGGUGGGCCCUGGUUGACUCCCCUGAGUCAAUGACAGGUGGGGCCCAGCCCUGCUAAUUACACAGGAUUAGUUUUAAUUAAAUCUCAAUUAAAAUAAUCACCCUGACAUGCGGGACCCAUUGUCAGGUUUGACCCAGACCUGUUCCGUUGACCUGCUGACGUCACACUGACGUCAGGCUGACGCAGUAAUUGAUUUUCUGGAUUUAAAUUAAAUCAGGAAAUUCCAGAAUAUUAUUUAAACUUCAAAAAUUCAUAACUUUUAUUCUGUAACUCCAAAUUGGACAAAUUAUAUAUGAAAAAUGAUCAGAAAAAUCCAAUCUGUCCAUCUGUACUAUUUUCAUGCAUGAUCAAACAAGUUAAAUUGAUGUUUUAAGCAGAACAAGGAAAAGCACUUAAAGAGGCCAUGUUUGAGUUUGAAAUUUGAAUCUUUGAUUCAAAUUUGUUCAAACCCUUCUGGUUUUAGUUGCAUUAGCCCAACACACUCAUAUUGCCAUGUUUCAUGCAUGCAUCAUAUUGUUGCACAUUGUUUGGUGAUGGUUGUGUAUCGGUGUCCUUUGCGACAGGUUCUGCCCCCGAGGAGUACCGUGAUUACCCUAACGAAGAACCUUAUGAGUGCAUCGAACCAUCAGGCAAGCAACCAACCAUUUGAUCAUAUCGAUACAAUCCCAUGUUCUCGCUCCUGCUCUCUUUUACUGCAUUAAGACAACGCGAUUCAAACUGCUGUGUGCUACGGUAGUUGAACCCAUUUCCUCUGCAUGACCUGUCAUUGCCACAGUAACUAGAUGAAACCCACUAGCAUGUGUAGGAGUUGAUUGAGCCCUAUGUAUGUGUUGUUCCUACCUUGCUAUGCCUGCUAUGCUUAGAGUCGUGUCAGGUCUGGUUCAUCUGGGUGAUGGGCUAGAGUGAAAUGAUUAGGUCGGUAAUAAGAGUGGUGUGGUGAACACGAUUUGGUAAAGGUAUCGAUGAGAGGCCAUGUAGGAGUACAUGGUGGGUUGUUUCAUUGAAGCCGACCUUAAGCACUGAGAUUUGUAUAUGUGAUUUAAGAUACAACUACUACCAUGCAUUGGGCCCUGAAAUAUGACCCCGCUCGACUUCUUAUUCACCCUAGCUCUCUGUCCAGGAGUUGCAAGUAGUUUCUGGUGUUUGUAGCCUACUGGAGGCCGUGGACAGCGCUGACCGUAGGGGUGGGCUGUGAUGCGGUAGGUACGUGGCACGGUGUACCGAAUACCCGUUAGGUAUCUCGGGAACCCUGUUCACAUCGUUCGGGGCCGUAUGGGAAACCUCGGCCGGACUCCCUGCGGAUGGAACCUGAAUAGGCGAUAAACCUGGACUAGAGGCUUAAGUGUUUAGGUAGGUCGUGGUCUACACCCACGUCGGCUUUCGCUUGAAGUCUGCCGAGCACAUGUCGUGUGCAGACGCUAAGUGGUGGAAACAUGUAUGAAGAAGUACACCCCUGCAGGGUUAACAUGAUCUAUUCGAAUAGCCGCGUCCGCGGUAAAGGACUACUUGGUUACCUAUACAGUUCAUAGACAAGUAGAUGGAAACUACUAAAAGCCUCAAGAUAAGUGUGAGUGCCGAGGAUGGCUCUUCCGUAGGAAGACGGAGGUGGAUCCUCGGUAGUGUAUUGAAGUGGUGAGUAGUGGACUCGUGUGCGCAAAACCAUUUCAGUUGGAGUAUCGUAGGAUAGUCUAGCCAAGAGUCAAAGCUGGCUUGCUGCAAUAACUCCACCAACCCUUCUUGAUACCAUGCAUGUAUGUAGGAUCUGAUGUAAGUCUUGCUGAGUACCUUUGUACUCAUGUUGCUAUAAUCUACAUUUUUACAGAAGACGCUGCAACCCCUUCUGAUGGGUUCUAUGUAGACGUUGACAUCAACGAGUAGGCUAAAGACCCAGGUGGUGACCCUGAGCUUGUGAAGGACCACGUAGUAUAGCUAGGCUUUCCAAGCCUCUUUUAUUUUACUAGUUGUCUGUACUCAGACAAGUUACUUCCGCUGCUGGUUUGUAUAACUGUAUGACUUGUAUGUGGGGUCGUGAGACCCGUACCUUUGUGUAUGUUAUGUAUGGCUCACUGAGCCUUAAAUAAAGUAUUUGUGUCAUAGAGUCAUGUUGUGAUGCUUCGUUGUAUUUGCACAUAUCGAGCAUAUUGUGUGUAUGAUUGAAAUGCUUGGUAUGUGUGGGAUCUGACUAUCUAGUUGUUUAUCUUUAGUAGCCUCUCUUACCGGGAAAUGUCUCCUAGUGUUACCGCUGAGCCAUGGUAGCUUGCUACUGCUCUGGAACACUUAGGCUGGCCGGCAUGUGUCCUUCUUCGUUCCUGUGUCUGUCCCUUCGGGGAAAUGUCACGCUUUGAGUACCGGAGUCCUGUUAGCCCGCUACAGCCCGGUUUACCGGAGUCCUGCUAGCCCAGUGCUACAGCCCGGACCCACUUGCUGAUGACCGACACGUUCGAAGCUGGGUCAUGGAUGCCUGUCCCUGUAAGUCUGUGCCACUUUGGGUUUACGACUAGUCAUGUCAGCCCGGGCUCUUUAUCAUAUGGAUGCUAGCGACACUAUCAUAUACAUGAGCCAAAAGGCGCAAACGGUCCCGGGAAAAGGUAAGACGACACCCGUGGGAAUACCGUGCGUGAGGCCGCAAGGUGAUAUGAGGUGUUACCAGCUAGAUCGAUGUGACAUCGAGUCGGGGUCCUGACAGCGUUGGCAUUAGAGCCGGACUGCCUGUAGGUUCUCCAAGCCAAACUGGUCGAUGUUGAGUCUAGAAAUUCUUUAGUUAUAUGUAGGGGAAUUGUUUGUGGGUUGGAACGUAAGGCUCUUUUUACUCCUUAUACCUUAUGACUUUCUGAUCUGAGUCAGUCCAUUCUUCCACCGGGGGUUAAGGAAUUAGGAUCUAUUCUCUCUAUCAGGAUCACGUGUUACUAAUCAGUAGUACCUUAUAGGUAUGAAGGAUACAAGCCUAGUUCAGUUCUUUUACCACAUUAUGUUGCCAGAAUGGUUUCAGAACUUUGAAAUGAUGAUGUUGAGUAUGUACGAAAUCCUUUGUCAAAUGUCUCAAUAUCCUUUUUGAGCAUUUACAGCUGUUAUGCUGCCGAAAUUUUGCUAGAAGUUCUAAUGCCUUUGCAUUAUGAAUGUGCUUUCAGAUGGCCACUCGCGACCUCAAUCAAGUGGUUCGCCUGACUCGAUGCCUAGAUGUACCCGGCCAUACUGCUAAGUUGGUCAGGGUAAUGACUGAGGCUGGAUACCGCUGGUAUCCUGAGUACACGGUCGAAGAGCAAUUCCGGGACUUCAAUCAAAGCCAGUAUCUCUGCACUGUCAGGAUAUUUCCAUCUUAUCCUGGAUCCACCGAGCCUCUUCACUGUUCCUAUGGACUCGGGGUUACUAUUGAGAUGGCUGUGCAGGACGCCGCCUACUCUAUGAUGACCAUUAUGCGAGUCAGAUCUGGUUUAUUUCGGGACUCUGAUUUCCGGUAUAUGCCAGGAUCACUUCCGGGAGCACAAGGGUAUCUCCAGGCUAUCUAUGCUGACUCCACUCAGGAGGAUUCACGAACUCGCACCACUGCUGAGAUGCUCGAGGAUAAGGACCGUGAAAAUCGGGCCUUAAGGUUAGAGCUCUUCAAUACCCGUGCUGACCACUGGGCUACUUUGACUCGGUUCGCACCGGCGGUGCAAGCUGGAUAUUCAGAUAUGCGCGAUCUCUACCCUGUGAGAUCUGCUCUGCCGGACGUGAUGGUUUGGCGUGAUGUAGGAGGCAUCACCCCACCUCGCGGUCCCCGCAGGCCACCGUUUGUUGGUCCAAGGCCUCAUCCUAGCCCCUAUGGUCCACAAGCUCCGCGAGACCGUCUGUUUCCGGAUGAUCAUGUUGAGCUUCCAGGCUAUGGAGGUGACUUCUACGAGGACUACUACGGAUCGGUCUGAGUUAGCGGUAGUAUCACUAGUUCACACUAGCUGUGUCGUCUAUCGUCCUGCGUGACUCGUGGGAUAUGACCUAGUUUGUACUCUUUCCGGAGGUGUAGAAAAAUAAUGUAUAGGAGCUUGGAAUGCCUCCGAUGAGAUGUAAUCCUCUUUUCACCGUAAUAGUACUUUGUUUGGUCUUGUACUAAACCCUGUAUGGUGUGUAUGACGAUGGAAUAAAGAAGCAGUUUCUGUAUCUACCAUGUCAUACGGAUGAUCAUCUUGCAUUCCGAUUUAUUCCUUACAUUAUGUAUCCUAUGUCGGAAUUUUAUCAUCCUGACUAAAACAUUGUCUUGAUUACCUAGGAUGGUCAACACGCGCGCUAACCCUGCUUCCCAAGAGCAGGCCGAAGGCAGUGAAGCCAGGGAUGCAAAUCUGCCUCAUCCCCCUUCACUAGCUGAGGUUAUGAUGGAAGCUGAGAGAAACAAGCGGGAGACCAACCGUUUGUUGGAGCGUAUUGAACAGAAUACAGCACACCAUCAGAGAGCUAACGUGGUGUCACUCAGUGAUUUUAUCAAAUUGCAUCCACCCACGUUCCACCACUCCGUCGAGCCUCUCGACGCUGAUGACUGGCUUCGCAGUAUCUCUCACAAACUGCGUUCCGCGCUGGUAGCGGAGGCUGACAAGGUCACCUUUGCUGCAUAUCAUCUUGAAGGCCCCGCCAGUCUAUGGUGGGAGAAUUAUGGAGCUAUGCGCCCAGCGGGCCAUGUCACUACUUGGGCUGAGUUCAGCGAGGCUUUCCGUGAACAUCACAUUCCGGAGGGUCUCAUGGACCGUAAACGUGAAGAAUUUUGCAGUUUCACCCAAGGCCGACUUUCUGUGGAUGCCUAUAGCAGGGAGUUUGGUAACCUCGCACGAUAUGCAACCGAGGAAGUUUCUACUGACGCCAAGAAGCAAGCAAGGUUCCGUAAGGGCCUUAGUCCUGAGCUUCGCCGCGACCUCCGUCUGCAUGAGUGCACAUCUUUUCAGAAACUUGUCAACAAAGCCAUCAGUGCUGAAACUGGCCAGACUGACUAUGACGCAACACGCAAGCAUGGCCGUGACAUGGGUUCCUCAUCCGGUGCUGGUCCUCAGAAGCGCCGCGUGUGGGUGCCCAACACCGCCCUGCCACCCAGGUUCACACCGAGGCCAUCUUUCCAGGCGCCUCGCCCCGUUCAACAGUCUGCUCCAGCCAAGCCCUAUGGGGGUCCAACCAAUAAUGCUCCUCCACGUACCAGUUCCGUGACUUGUUUCAAAUGUGGGGAAUCUGGUCACUAUAUGCGUGAGUGUCCCCAGACCAACCCCAACCAAUCUGCUAAAGCUGUUGGCCGUGGCAAGCCGACAGGAAAAAUAUUCCACGCCAAGCCGGUCGCCGCUUCACGUGGCCAUGUCAACUGUAUCUCUGCCGAAGAAGCUCAAGAGGAUCCCAACGUCGUUCUCGGUACGCUUCUUGUUAAUUGCCACCCGGCAUCUGUUCUUUUCGAUACAGGAGCCUCUCAUUCUUUUAUAUCUGAAAACUAUGCUCGCUUGCAUAACGUCGCAUUCGGUGAUAUGCCAACCUCUAUGGUAAUUCAAACUCCGGGAUCCAAAUGGCAAACUUCUAGAGUAAGCCAUGGAAAUGAAAUCCAAGUCGACAGACUUGUUUUUCUCGUAUCUUUGAUAGCCCUUAAAUCUUCAGAUAUUAAUAUCACUUUGGGUAUGGACUGGAUGUCAGCUCAUCAAGCCAAAAUUGAUUGCUUCUCUAGGACUGUUCAACUCACCCAUCCUUCGGGGAAGAUAGUCAAUGUCUUGACCCGAAUAGCCAAGCGACAAUUAUAUUCUCUUAACGCCAGCCCUUUGCCAGACCUUGAGGACGUGCCGGUAGUCUGUGACUUCCCGGAUGUCUUCCCAGAGGAAUUGCCAGGUGUUCCACCUGACAGGGAUGUUGAGUUCGUAAUAGAUCUCAUUCCAGGAACCGUUCCGAUUGCUAGGAGACCCUAUAAGAUGGCACCCCUAGAACUAGCCGAGCUUAAGAAACAACUCGAUGAGUCCUUGAAAAAGGGUUUCAUCCGCCCUAGUUCAUCUCCGUGGGCUUGCCCCGUCCUAUUCGUCAAGAAGAAGGAUGGUACGGACCGGAUGGUUGUAGAUUACCGACCUGUCAAUUUGGUCACAAUCAAGAACAAAUAUCCACUUCCCAGGAUCAACGAUCUGUAUGAUCAGCUCGCUGGAUCCUCAGUCUUCUCCAAGAUGGAUUUGAGGUUGGGCUACCAUCAAAUCAAAAUCAGAAACGGGGACAUUCCUAAAACGGCCUUUGUUACUCGUUAUGGCCAAUACGAGUACACCGUCAUGUCCUUCGGAUUAACCAACGCUCCAGCCACCUUUUCUCGGUUAAUGAACUCAAUCUUCAUGGAGUAUUUGGAUAAAUUCGUCGUGGUCUACCUCGAUGAUAUACUCAUCUACUCCAAGAACGAGGAAGAACAUGCCGAACAUCUAAGGCUAGUGUUGAAGAAACUUCGAGAGCAUCGCCUUUAUGCCAAAUUUUCGAAAUGUGAAUUCUGGUUGUCAGAAGUGACCUAUCUGGGUCAUGUAAUAUCUGGUAAAGGUAUUGCUGUUAACCCUGAGCGAGUUCAAGCCGUCCUUAAUUGGACUCCACCUGAAUCGGUCAAGCAAGUUCGGAGUUUUCUAGGCUUAGCGAGCUAUUGCCGUCGCUUUGUCGAGAACUUCUCCAAAGUUGCUAAACCUCUAACCGAACUCCUCAAGAAAGAUAAGAAGUUCGAAUGGACUCCACAAUGUGAGCACAACUUUCAGGAACUGAAAAGACGCCUGACCUCUGCUCCCGUGCUGGUACCGCCAGACUUCUCCAAGGACUUCGUUAUCUACUGCGACGCCUCGCGACAAGGACUAGGUUGCAUUCUCAUGCAAGAUCGACACGUAAUUGCUUACGCUUCACGGCAAUUGCACCCACAUGAGGAGAAUUAUCCUACCCAUGAUCUAGAGCUUGCAGCCGUAGUCUAUGCACUUAAGACCUGGCGACAUUACCUCCUCGGUAAUCGUUGCGAAAUAUUCACUGAUCACCAAAGUCUGAAGUAUAUUUUCACCCAACCGGAUUUGAAUCUCAGGCAGAGACGUUGGGUUGAAUUGAUCACAGACUUCGACUUAGGAAUAACCUACACCCCAGGGAAAGCCAACGUCAUGGCUGAUGCGCUAAGUCGUAAAUCUUAUUGUAACAACCUGAUGUUACAACAAAGUCAACCGCUUCUCCAUGAGGAAUUUCGGAAACUUAACCUUCACAUUGUACCUCAAGGUUUUCUUUCCACCUUGGUAGCAAAACCUACUCUUACGGAUCAAAUCAUCGCUGCCCAAAAGCGAGAUAAGGGAAUAUCUAAAAUCAAAGAGAACAUUGCUAGCGGAGGUGCUAGUUGUUUCUCCACCAAUGAUCAUGGUGUGGUGUACUUUGAGAACCGUCUAGUGGUUCCCAAGAACCAGCAUCUACGGCAGUUGAUCCUUAAGGAGGCUCAUGAAUCUCCUCUCACCAUUCAUCCCGGUAGCACUAAAAUGUAUCAGGACCUACGCCAGAGGUUCUGGUGGACUAGGAUGAAGAGAGAAAUUGCUCAAUAUAUUGCAAAUUGCGACGUCUGUCGUCGUGUAAAAGCAGAGCAUCAACGGCCUGCUGGCACCCUUCAACCCUUAGCUAUUCCUGAAUGGAAAUGGGAUAAAAUUGGUAUGGAUUUCAUUACCGGUUUUCCCAGGACCAAGAGAGGGAAUAAUGCUAUUUUCGUCGUGGUCGAUCGUCUUUCCAAAGUAGCCCACUUCUUACCUGUUCGUGAGAGUAUAACCGCUAGUCAGCUGGCAGAUUUGUACAUCUCCCGAAUAGUGUCUCUCCAUGGUGUUCCUUUGGAAAUUAACUCGGAUCGAGGAAGUCUUUUCACCUCUCGAUUUUAGGAAAGUUUCCAAAAUGCUAUGGGAACCCGUCUCUCCUUUAGCACCGCUUUCCACCCUCAGUCGAGUGGUCAAGUGGAACGCGUCAACCAAAUUCUAGAAGACAUGCUUCGAGCCUCCGUUAUCUCUUUCGGAAUGGACUGGGAGAAGUGCCUUCCAUUUGCCGAAUUCGCUUACAACAACAGCUAUCAAUCUAGCUUGGGUAAAGCCCCUUUUGAAGUUCUCUAUGGACGACGAUGUCGAACACCCCUUAACUGGUCAGAGACCGGGGAAAGACAAUUCUUUGGCCCGGAUAUGAUUCAGGAAGCAGAAGAACAAGUUCGUAUCGUUCGUGAAAAGUUGAAAACAGCCCAAUCUCGUCAAAAGAGUCAAUAUGACCGAAAACAUAAGGCUAUGACUUUCGAGGUUGACGAGAAGGCUUAUCUUCGGGUCACCCCUCUGAAGGGAACCCAUCGUUUCGGUAUCAAAGGCAAAUUAGCUCCUCGUUACAUUGGACCUUUUCGCAUUCUUGCCAAACGAGGAGAAGUUGCCUACCAAUUGGAACUACCUCCGCACCUCUCCAGGGUCCACGAUGUCUUCCACGUUACUCAACUCAGGCGUUGCUUCUCGGAUCCUAUCCGUGGAGUGGACCACGAAACGCUUGAUCUCCAAGAUGAUCUUACAUAUCGAGAGUACCCCAUCCGUAUCCUCGAUCAGGCCGAGCGUACCACUCGACGUCAGAACAUCAAGUUCCUCAAAGUUCAGUGGUCUCAUCAUUCUGAGGAUGAAGCAACUUGGGAAAGGGAGGAUCGUCUUCGACUUGAGUAUCCCGCCUUCUUCCCGGAGGAACCCAAAUCUCGGGACGAGAUUCUUUUGAGUGGGGGUGAGUUGUCACACCCUAGCUAGUUAUGCAUUAGAGUGUUGCAUCAUGUUUACUUUUUCAUCAGAAACUUGAAAUGGGGAUGACAGAACCCCCAGUCCCCUCUGAAACCAACUAGGGUUACUAAAAUAAUUUUUCAAUGAACCUGAAAUGCCCUUCUAAAAUGCCCAUCAUUUUUGUCUUGGUUCAGAACCUCUGCCAAAAGUGGUGCACAUUUUCCUAGGCCAUCCUAGGGUUUUUGAAUUAAAUCAUAAAUAUUUGAAUUUGGGCAUUUAAAAUAAUAUAAAAUAUUCAAAUGCUCAAAUAUCUCCAAACUAAAAUGUUUCAUGUUGGAAAUAAUCCAACUAUGGGCCAGGAAUAGUUUGGUGAUUUUUGAAGUUGCCUAGGUAUUUUAUUUAAUUCAACAAAGUUGCAGAUAUAUUAAAUAAAAACAGAAACAGAAGAAAAUGAAAAGGCUUACCUGUCGCCCACCAGCCAGCCCACCUGGCCGGCCCAGCCCGGCCACCGCUCCAGCGAGCUGCUUGGCUUGCCAGGCAGGCAGCCAAGGUGCUCGGCGGCGGCACCGCAGCUCGCCAUGCAGCUGCUCGCCGCCUCGCCGCCUACCUCGCCCGGCUAACGCCGUGAACCGGCCUCCCUCUCUCCCCCGAACCCCCCAGACACCCCCUCUCCUCUCCAGCUCCUCCCCCUCGCACGCCCCAGCCAUGGCCGACGCCACCGUCGCCGCACCACCGUCGUAGCCGUGCUCCCCGUCGUCUCCACGCCGCGCCACCCUGUCCAGAAGCUCCGCCGUCCUCUACUCCUUCGAGCUAGCCGAGCCCCGAGCGCUCGCGUGCCUCGAAGCCGCCGCACCGACCUCGCCCGAGCUCGCCGUCGCCGGAGAUCCCUUUCAACGCCGUCGCUGCCUCAGCUCGUCCCCGACCCCGCCGGUGGCCUCUACGGGAGCGUUGUGAGCCUAGCUACUCCUCCGACCCUCUCCCUCUCAUUCCCGAGCUGUGUAGCCACCGCACGAGGAUCACACGCCCGCACCGUCGCGGACCUCGUCGCCGACGUGCUUCCGGCCACACUCCGGCCACAAGAUGGUGUCCAUCUUGCUCACCGAGUCCCACAGCACCUAGCUAGCCACUCCACGAGCCUCACCGACCCCUCUAGCGCCAAGUUCAUCCUCGACCGAACCCCGGUGGCCGCCAAAGUCGUCGCCGGCGCCAACUCCGGCCACCCCGACCCCAACGGACUCCGCCAAGAGCUGCGGUUUGUCCUCAGCUCCACUCCGGUGGUCUCCGCGGUCCAUUUGGUGGCCGAAAUGGCCAAAACCACUCCCGCCGCCACGUCGGGCUCGCCGGCGGCUAAACGCCGGCAGCCGACUUUGACUUUGACCACGGGUGGGCCCUGGUUGACUCCCCUGAGUCAAUGACAGGUGGGGCCCAGCCCUGCUAAUUACACAGGAUUAGUUUUAAUUAAAUCUCAAUUAAAAUAAUCACCCUGACAUGCGGGACCCACUGUCAGGUUUGACCCAGACCUGUUCCGUUGACCUGCUGACGUCACACUGACGUCAGGCUGACGCAGUAAUUGAUUUUCUGGAUUUAAAUUAAAUCAGGAAAUUCCAGAAUAUUAUUUAAACUUCAAAAAUUCAUAACUUUUAUUCUGUAACUCCAAAUUGGACAAAUUAUAUAUGAAAAAUGAUCAGAAAAAUCCAAUCUACCCAUCUGUACUAUUUUCAUGCAUGAUCAAACAAGUUAAAUUGAUGUUUUAAGCAGAACAAGGAAAAGCACUUAAAGAGGCCAUGUUUGAGUUUGAAAUUUGAAUCUUUGAUUCAAAUUUGUUCAAACCCUUCUGGUUUUAGUUGCAUUAGCCCAACACACUCAUAUUGCCAUGUUUCAUGCAUGCAUCAUAUUGUUGCACAUUGUUUGGUGAUGGUUGUUUAUCGGUGUCCUUUGCGACAGGUUCUGCCCCCGAGGAGUACCGUGAUUACCCUAACGAAGAACCUUAUCAGUGCAUCGAACCAUCAGGCAAGCAACCAACCAUUUGAUCAUAUCGAUACAAUCCCAUGUUCUCGCUCCUGCUCUCUUUUACUGCAUUAAGACAACGCGAUUCAAACUGCUGUGUGCUACGGUAGUUGAACCCAUUUCCUCUGCAUGACCUGUCAUUGCCACAGUAACUAGAUGAAACCCACUAGCAUGUGUAGGAGUUGAUUGAGCCCUAUGUAUGUGUUGUUCCUACCUUGCUAUGCCUGCUAUGCUUAGAGUCGUGUCAGGUCUGGUUCAUCUGGGUGAUGGGCUAGAGUGAAAUGAUUAUGUCGGUAAUAAGAGUGGUGUGGUGAACACGAUUUGGUAAAGGUAUCGAUGAGAGGCCAUGUAGGAGUACAUGGUGGGUUGUUUCAUUGAAGCCGACCUUAAGCACUGAGAUCUGUAUAUGUGAUUUAAGAUACAACUACUACCAUGCAUUGGGCCCUGAAAUAUGACCCCGCUCGACUUCUUAUUCACCCUAGCUCUCUGUCCAGGAGUUGCAAGUAGUUUCUGGUGUUUGUAGCCUACUGGAGGCCGUGGACAGCGCUGACCGUAGGGGUGGGCUGUGAUGCGGUAGGUACGUGGCACGGUGUACCGAAUACCCGUUAGGUAUCUCGGGAACCCUGUUCACAUCGUUCGGGGCCGUAUGGGAAACCUCGGUCGGACUCCCUGCGGAUGGAACCUGAAUAGGCGAUAAACCUGGACUAGAGGCUUAAGUGUUUAGGUAGGUCGUGGUCUACACCCACGUCGGCUUUCGCUUGAAGUCUGCCGAGCACAUGUCGUGUGCAGACGCUAAGUGGUGGAAACAUGUAUGAAGAAGUACACCCCUGCAGGGUUAACAUGAUCUAUUCGAAUAGCCGCGUCCGCGGUAAAGGACUACUUGGUUACCUAUACAGUUCAUAGACAAGUAGAUGGAAACUACUAAAAGCCUCAAGAUAAGUGUGAGUGCCAAGGAUGGCUCUUCCGUAGGAAGACGGAGGUGGAUCCUCGGUAGUGUAUUGAAGUGGUGAGUAGUGGACUCGUGUGCGCAAAACCAUUUCAGUUGGAGUAUCGUAGGAUAGUCUAGCCAAGAGUCAAAGCUGGCUUGCUGCAAUAACUCCACCAACCCUUCUUGAUACCAUGCAUGUAUGUAGGAUCUGAUGUAAGUCUUGCUGAGUACCUUUGUACUCAUGUUGCUAUAAUCUACAUUUUUACAGAAGACGCUGCAACCCCUUCUGAUGGGUUCUAUGUAGACAUUGACAUCAACGAGUAGGCUAAAGACCCAGGUGGUGACCCUGAGCUUGUGAAGGACCACGUAGUAUAGCUAGGCUUUCCAAGCCUCUUUUAUUUUACUAGUUGUCUGUACUCAGACAAGUUACUUCCGCUGCUGGUUUGUAUAACUGUAUGACUUGUAUGUGGGGUCGUGAGACCCGUACCUUUGUGUAUGUUAUGUAUGGCUCACUGAGCCUUAAAUAAAGUAUUUGUGUCAUAGAGUCAUGUUGUGAUGCUUCGUUGUAUUUGCACAUAUCGAGCAUAUUGUGUGUAUGAUUGAAAUGCUUGGUAUGUGUGGGAUCUGACUAUCUAGUUGUUUAUCUUUAGUAGCCUCUCUUACCGGGAAAUGUCUCCUAGUGUUACCGCUGAGCCAUGGUAGCUUGCUACUGCUCUGGAACACUUAGGCUGGCCGGCAUGUGUCCUUCUUCGUUCCUGUGUCUGUCCCUUCGGGGAAAUGUCACGCUUUGAGUACCGGAGUCCUGUUAGCCCGCUACAGCCCGGUUUACCGGAGUCCUGCUAGCCCAGUGCUACAGCCCGGACCCACUUGCUGAUGACCGACACGUUCGAAGCUGGGUCAUGGAUGCCUGUCCCUGUAAGUCUGUGCCACUUUGGGUUUACGACUAGUCAUGUCAGCCCGGGCUCUUUAUCAUAUGGAUGCUAGCGACACUAUCAUAUACGUGAGCCAAAAGGCGCAAAUGGUCCCGGGAAAAGGUAAGACGUCACCCGUGGGGAUACCGUGCGUGAGGCCGCAAAGUGAUAUGAGGUGUUACCAGCUAGAUCGAUGUGACAUCGAGUCGGGGUCCUGACAUGUUCCUAUGUUGAAACUUCUGAAUUUGAGCAGUUGUUCUUGUUCUGAGUUCCUUCAGGGAGAUGAAUCUGAAUUGGUGUUGACUCUUUGUCUCAAUUCAGUUUAACCGCAUGGACAUGUACACAUGCGAUCAGAAUUUUCUGUAGAUCAUUGGUGAUUGAUUCCCAUGCCGAAAUUGAUUGGCAGUGGACGACUAGUCAUUCUUUUGCCAUGACAUAUUAUUCAGAUAUUUGCAUAUGUUCAACCACAAUUAUCCUGUUUUCUCGUUCAACCACAAUUAUCCUGUUUUCUCGUUGGAUCCAAUGAGAGAGAACAAGAUUAGAUUAACAUUUAUGUCCUUCCUUUCAUGUGUUGCUUGUGCCUAUCUUGACCUUGUCACUUUAUUAUGUUUAUAACUUUCCAUAAUUUAUUAUUUGCAGAUGUUGGCCUUCAUUCUUCAAAAGUUGGGUGCACAGGAGCUCUAGGAAGAAGAAUCCAAAGAAAAACCACACCCAGCAAUGCGUUUUAGCUCACUGGAGCUAGUUAUGCGUAUAUUUAGUUGUAUUUUAUAGAUGAAUACCAGAUCCGUACUAUGUAUGAUUGUAAUGUACUUUGCUUGGCUGUUGUAUAAAAUAUUAUGCCUUAUUGGCUCUUUUUUAAUCAAAUUAUAUAAUUGCACAAACAUAGAACUGACGUGUCGUACCCAAACAGGAAUUCUGGUAAUUGGUUCCCAUUUGACUAUUCGGACCUACUUUGAAAUGGAAAAAAACAAAAAAAAACUAACAAGUGGGCAAGAAAAAGGCCGAGGCCUAAAAAAUAUGGAUUGUAAAAGAUUGUGGCCCUGAAAAUAGAAGUCUGUUGGGCUUGGCCUAUGUAGUUGACCCAAAUUGAAAGAAAGAAAAACAACAAAUAGGAUGAAUUAAUGGGCUCAGCCCAUGUAAAACACCGAAUUGGACCAGGCUGAUUCUUAUCCACGUCAGCUUGCCACGCAGGAUCCUACGUGGCCUGGGGAGGUUGCUGGUGACCAAAAAUUUGGUCGUGGAACCAACGACCUUUUACAUAUCACAAAGAAGGUCGUUAAUUUCAGUUUACGACGGCCAGCUUUUGACCAUCCAUUUUUGGUCGCAAAAAGGUCACAAAUGAAAAACAACAACCAUUCAGCAACCAAUAGUGAUGGUCGCAAGUUGACAUAUUUCUUGUAGUGCCGGCACCGCGUGAGCCCACUCCUCAUCCUCCAAAUCCGACACCGCGUCAGCCCAGUCCUCCUCCUCCAAGUCAGGCACUGCGUAGGCCGUCUCCACCACCGCCUAAGCAACAGCGGAAGAGAGCCUUCGCAGCUAUGGCGGCUAGCGGUACAAGUACAAGAGGCAAGAGAUACCAAUUUGGUCCAAGCCUUGCGCCUCUUCCGAAGAGGCCUUACGACAUGACCGAAGAGGAAAACAAAGCCGAAUGCAGGGCCCAAUUGGAUGCCCAUUAUGGACCGAAACCGUCACCGCCGCCAAAGGAGAAACUGCAUGAGCAUGCCAUUGACCACUUUAUUCGUAUGGCUCAAGCACCAGCUCCAAAGCCUAUUGACUCAGACUAUGAGUGCCAAAUUAGGAAGGCAUAUCAAGCACAAAAAAAGAAGGAGUCGAGCUCGAGCUCCAGCCAAGCAGCUGCCAAAAAAAGCGGGAAAAUUGUUCUCCGGCUGGGAGAACAGGUGGUGCAAUCGAUCCCCCCACUCAUUGUAUCAACACACAUGAGUACCGGCGCGGCCGAUUAUCUGGUCAUAACCAAUGAUCAUAGAAGGCAGGCUACAGAGAUCGGAUGCAUUGUAGAACAACACCUAGAGCUCGAGCCCAUGGAAACUUUUACAGAGCAGGGAUUAAGACGGAAAUAUGCCCGCGGCGAACCUUUGGUCAAGCCUGAGGAGGUCAAGAAGCUCUCAACAAGAAUGUAUGAAUUGCAUGAAUGGUACAUGAAAAUUGCCAAGACUACCAAUCAAGAGUCCCUCAUGGUGAAAGUCAAGGCAGAGCAUUACUUCCAUGAGAAUGCUCUAUAUGUUGAGUUUACAGAACUGUUUCAGUUAUUCAAUCAAGACGCAUUCGACAAAUCUAUCGUCAGUUGCUAUUGCCUGUAAGUGAUUUCUUUCUGUAAUGUAAGUCUCAAGCUAGUUGUAGUGCUUAUUGAUCAUUACCUGUAGUUAUCCUCACUAUAUUCUUUUCUGUGGUAUUAUGUAGAAUGAGAUCUAUGAAUGAAAAAAGUUGGACGCUAUGGCAUUGGGUUCAUUGACCAAAAUACCGUUAAUCAAGAGACAUGGUCAAAGGAAUUAUAUCGAAAAGAAACAGAGAAAACCUUGCUAGAGUUCUUGAAGCGCCUAAAUACUAAUCGAGAUAUACUACUUCCUUACAACUUCGGGUGAGUCAUGCUGUCUUGUACUAUAAAUUAUAUUUUUGCUUACUAGCUAGAUGUUAAUUAAUAAGUGUAUAGGGUUUAGGGUAGUUUUUGAUUGUUAUGCACAUGCCCGCUUAAUUUAUACAUGCAAACGUGUGCGCAUGCAAUUUCCAUUGGAUCUUGUUAAUCAUUCAAGUUGAAGAUGGAACAGUUGAAGUACUGGAAUCGCUAAUUAAACCAGUUACUCAGUACGAAAUCGUGAAGGGGAUAAUCAACAGGUAAUUGCAAUCAUUAUCGAACUAUAUGUCAGCCUCUUUAGUUCGUCAUUUCCUAAUAUCAACUAAUUAAUAACUCAUUUAUUCAUUUUCUUUGCUGGCGGGUAGGGUUUGAGAAAAGUUCAUCAAAACGGUUCCAGGACAAUGGAAACAAAAGCUGUAUUGGUAUCGACCCAAGGUAUAAUUAAUUAAGUAGUACUAGCUAGCUACCAUCUCUUUAAUUCUAGUUUCAAUACCAUUAGUUAUCAUGCUUGAUUAAUUAUUAUCUGAUUGAAUUCUAUUCUCAUACAUGCCAUGAAGAAAUUGCCGGGGAAUGAAUUAUGUGCAUACUAUAUUUACGAGAACAUUCACAUGAUGGCAUCCGAAAGGAGCAGAUCUGACAGAUAGCUAUGGGUACGUUUGUCAAAACACUAUUCAUAAUUUUUAUAUCAUUAUCAAUAUCUAAUAUAUAUACACACAACUAAUACAUGCAUACUGAUCUCCUUCUUUAAAGUUCAAGGAGGUGCGGCAUCAGCUCCUACCAAUGAAUCGCGUACGAGCAAUUCAAGAAGAAAUAGCGGGAUUUUUGCUCGACCAGGUCAUAGAUCCCAAAGGAGAAUUCCAUUACCCGCUACCACAGUAAUGCCUCCAUGUAGAAGAAAUUGUAUAUACCAAAUUGUAUAUAUAUAUACAUGUGUAUGUGUGAAUGGUUCUAUGAGAAAUUUUAUUUAUAUAUAUGCAUAACGUGUAUAAUAUGUAGUAUCGUAAAAUACCAACAAAUGAAAAAGAAUUAAAUGAAAAACACAAAAUUAAAGAAAAAAUAUCAUAAACCAAAAACCCCCUAAACCUUUUAGUACCGGUUGGUGUUACCAACCGGUACUAAAGGUCUCCCAGCCCCCGGCGCGGGCUCAUACCACGUGGUGGCCCUUUAGUGGCGGUUCGUGUUGAACCGGCACUCCUUUAGUACCGGUUACAGAACCGGUACCAAAGGGCCUUACGACCCGGUGCUAUAGCCCGGUUCUGCACUGCUAUUUGAAAAUGAAUAGAUUGAAAGUUUCUCGGAAAAAAACAAAGUAACUUUGUUUUCUUGAAAAAGGGUAUGCAAUCAGUAGGCCUGAGAGGUGUUGGGAAUUUAGCAUGGAGUCCUAAUACAGUUGGUAUUACCACUGUAUGAUACUCCCUCCGUUCCUUUUUAUAAGGUGUAUUUGUUUUUUGAUAAAAUUCCAUAAUAUAAGGUGCAUUUGUUCUAAUUCCUCGUAAUUCCGAUCUUGGCCCUCCAGAAAAAGGAAAGUAUCUCUCCCCUGAUUGCAUGUAUCUCUCCUUGUAGAGAAACAAAAGAAAACAAUCUUUGUCCCGAUUGCGUGUAUCUCUCCCUUUCCUAGUCUAAAUGAUUUAUUGCCACUAAUCUAUGAAUUAGAUAAGGGUAAUUUUGUCCUAAAUAGUACACAAUUAUGUGCCUUGGUUAACGUGCUGAAAAUAAUACACCUUAGAUUGGAAUGGAGGGAGUACGCCGCAAGCCGGCGUCUCCUUCGGAUCUACCAUGCGUUGUUGCCAAAUGUGUCGACGUGCACUAACCCAUGGUCAUUCUCAAACGGUGGCCUCUUGUCCAAGCUGCCUCGUACAACCUGGCCCUCUACUGUAGCAUGAGAGACGACAGAAGGUUACAAACACAUUCGUCGGUGUUGCCGUAGGUUGUACACCGACACAGAGAGAGAGAGAGUACAUGCACGCUAAAACAAACUGUUGUGUGCGUGCAUUGAUCCCAGAAAGAGAGAGAAUCCAUGCCCGUAAAAAAAGAGAGAGAAUCCAGACACGCUAGCUCAAUUCUUAUUUGAAACGAAGCAAAGAACUUCCAUUUUUAUUAAUUGAUAAGAGAGUGAGAAUUUAGCGGUUAAUUUGAGGAAACCAGUCACGUAUUAUCUGUUACCAGAAAAAUAUAUGAAAUGCAACGAUUAUUUAUUUAUUUUUUGAGGGAAAAUGCGCCGAUUAUCUGACUGUGUAACUAUUACAUCAUUCACCUUGGGAAAGUUGGCUACCCGCAACAUAUGACUUUGUUGAAUGCCAACAAUUAGUGAAGUUUAGAGAGUCAAGAAACAUGAUUGUGUUCAUGAUAAAUACUUGGUUCUCGUGCGGCACUGUGUAAUUUUUUCAGGAGAUCCAGAGAGCUGGUGAUGUACUGAUUUUGAUACUUUAACGCUUAACAUUGAAUCUUUGUAAAAAUAAUAUCUCAACAGUAAUAUGUACCAAGUUUAUCUCAAAUAUUGUCCAUCAAAAAGUGGGUGAAGUAGUACAUGUAAGGUUUUUAAUAGUACAAAGUCACUAGCAACUAUUAAUUACUGAGACAAAAGGCUUUAUGUUUGCACCAUUUUAAAAUGAAUCCUUUUUUUUCGCGAAAAAUGAUUUCUUUCACUAGCUCUUUUGCAAUUCAAAUAUCACGUGGUCACUAUUAUUGUACAAUUCGCAUAGCAUGGUUGUUCGGUGCAGCGUCUCACUGUAACUUAUUUUCUUCGGGGUAGAACUAUAUAUAGCAUGGCAAUAUGGUUGGUCACUAGUUUAUUAAGUUAUUCAUUGAUUAUGUCACCAAAAAAAGUAUUAGGUCAUUCAUUCAUUACGUCACCGCUUGAGGAUGAAUAUUUUGGUGGGGCGCACAUAUCAUGCCUUUAUAAGAAGCAUAGCUGUUCAUGGAUACGUCAAAGAAAUUGGACAACUGUUGGUUCCCAAACAAAGUAACCUCAGUUUUCAAGAAUAAAAAUAUAUCUUGUUUUGAUGAAAAACGGUUUGCAAACUGUAGGCCUGGGAGGUGUCGGUAAUGUAGCAGUGAUUGCCAAUCAGGUUGGAGGUGCCAAUCAGUAUGGGACGUGUUUUGUUGUCAGCAUACACCUCGAUCACGCCUGCGCGUGAAGGAUCCAGCCUGUUUGGUAGCCCGUAUACAUUAUUGGGCCGGCAUCGCAUGCUUCUUAAAGCACCUCUGGGCCUGGCUCGCUGGAAACGCUCAGAUCGGCAGUUUCACUAGAGCCAGACCGAGCGGAAGCGCGGCGAGCGGGCCCCUGUACGAGGAGAAACGGGAGGGAUGCGAGGUGUUUAGGUCGUGUCUUCUUCAACCUCCAUUAAGCUCCUUUCUAAUCUCCUCUCUUCCAUGCCUCUCUAAUCUACACAAUGAUGCUUCGAUUCGUGGUAAGCUCUACAAGAAAAAGAUGUACAUCGAUGCUACGGUUUCAUUCAGGUAAUCGGUUUGUAGUUUGCUCGAACAUACAUGCUCAAUUUCUUGUUCCUAUUUGGAGCUGUUAUGUACUAAUUUUGUUAGAUCCGUCGCGCACGAUCGAUUGUUUGAAAUUUCCUUUGACCAGUAGCCUAAUCUCGCAGUUCUGCACGACAUUCGUGUUGCAAAUUUCAUGUUUUGACGAUCGUAGACGAGAAGAUCCACAUAUUUCUCAUGGCUGUACAUAUGAAUAUGUGUGCUAUGAUUUAAGACACUGCUUAAUUACUCCUCUAGCCGGCGUGGUUUCUCUUGAUCUCCUCUCUCGCAUCUUGCUGUGGUAGCAUCAUCGUCGCCGUCGUUCAUCUCAGCCUUCUCUCCAUGAUCCUACUGCAGUUAAGCCGCCAUGCCGCGCACACUGACGGGGUUCUUCUCCUCUGUUCUCUACCACUGACGGGGUCAAUCAUGUUGGCCUCCUCCUGGCCUCCUCUUUCUCGUCCUACUACACUGGAGUCAUUUUUGGCGUCGAUCAUCUCAGCUCCUCUCUCUCGUCCUACGACACUGACGAUGCCAUGGUGUGAGCACUACAUUUCACCUCCUCUGUCCAUUAUCUUUGUGCGAGCACUCCAACUAGUUCGCCGACAGGGUCGCUCGCCCAUGACUCCAUGCUCCUCAUGUCGGACACGGCGCCACGGUCAUUGUCCACCGCAGUCGCCAUUGUCCGGCGCACACUGCAUUUCUUCUCCCCUUCCUCUGCUAGCUCUUAACCCUGUGUGCUAAGUGCAAGUGCCAACUCUUAAUCAUACCCCAUGCGGGCAAACAAACAGUGUGUAGCUGUAUGCGCCGAGACAAUGCAGGAUAGUAUUCCAUUCUUUUCUAUCAGGAAUCCAAAGAUCUUUAACAAGAGAAGGGUAACUAUAUCCUGAAGGUUGAAUAAUAAGAUGAUCAUAAAUAGCAUUCCAACGCGAGCACCGGGGGGUGCUCCAUAUAGAAAUAUUACCUUGAGUAAUCUGAUAAAAAGAAUGAGCUUUGAGUUUGGGCAGCAUUUUGAGAAUGGAGGACCAAAAAGCUGAAUUUGGAUUGGAAGGGCUAGCAGUCCAGAUGGAAGCAUCAUGGAAGUAUUUGGACUUAAGAACAAGAUGAAGAUAGGAAGAAGAAUCUUUCGCUAUAUGCCAAGCAGUUGUAAGCAUCAGGCCUUCAUUAAUGGCUUGUAAGUUCCUAAUACCAAGGCCACCCUCAUUUUUGAAAUUAUAAAUAUCCUUCCAAGCCCUAAGACACAAGCUUUUGCUAGAAUUAUGCUCUCUAAUACCUGUCCACCAAAAGUUCCUAAUAAUAGCAGUGAGUUUGGCUACAAACUUCUUAGGAAAUAAAAUAUUAGCCAUAUAGUAAACAGGAAUAGCAGCAAAAACUGAUCUAAUCAAUUCAAGCCUAGCUGCAUGAGAGAGCAAGUUGGCCUUAUAAGCAGGAAGCUUAUUCAUGAAUUUAUCCAAAACAAAAUUGUAAGCCACAGAUCUAUUAUUAGCAGGAAGAAUAAGAGGAUGACCAAGAUGAGAAAAAUUAGCAUCCAUGUUAGAAACAGGAAAAAUCUGCUUAAUAUCUUGAAUAACAGCCUGACUAACAUGAGCACUAAACAUAACAGCAGACUUGGCCCAAUUUGGAGUUUGACCUGCCACAGAACAAAAAUGAUUGAUAAUGCUGGCCAUAGCAUUAGCUUCCUGAACAGUAGCUUGACCACAUACCAACAAAUCAUCUGCAAACAAAAGAGAGUGAAUCGGGGGGCAAUUUGGUCCAAGCAGAAUACCCUGCAGACUAUGAGCAGCUAAAGCUUCGUUAAGAGCAAGAGAUAAUUCAUUAAUGGCAAUAACAAACAAAUAAGGGGACAUAGGACAACCUUGACAAAUACCCCUAGAACUUUUGAAUUUAUGAGAAGGCCUACCAUUAAUGACCACAGAAAAAGUAGGAGAAGAAAUGCACUCAUAAAUCAAAUUUAUGAAAUGGGCAUGCAAUCCUUUACGUGCAAGAGCUGAAACAAUGAAGCUCCAUUCUAAACGAUCGAAAGCCUUAGCAAGAUCAAUUUUAAGCUUGAAAGCAAGGUGAUUCCAAGAACGAAGAGCAAAAGAGUGAGAAAUCUCUUGAGCAAUAAUGAUAUUGUCACUAAUUCUUCUACCUUCAAGGAAAGCUUGUUGAGCAGGGUCAAUAUAAUGUGAAAGAUGAGGCUUAAGACGAUUAGCUAAAGAUUUGGAAAUGAUUUUAUAAAUAACAUUGCAAACACUAAUUGGACGAUAAUCCAUAGGAACCUGAGGAACAAGUUUUUUAGGAAUGAGAGCAAUGUUUGUAUCACUCACGUGAGGGGGCAAUAUACCUGUUCUAUAAAAAUUGAGUACCAAUUGAGUGACAUCGUCUCCUAUCCAAUCCCAAGUAGCCAAAUAAAACUCGACAUUAAAACCAUCUGGCCCUGGAGAAGCAUUUAACUUCAUGUCCUUCAAAAUCUGCAAGACCUCAUUUUUAUCCGGAAUUAAAUAAGUAGGGUCCAAAGAGCCCUCCGGUAAGUGAGAAGCAAGAAAAGGUCUACCAUAGUUGAUAUGAGUGGAAGAGAAGAUAUAUAUGAAAUAAUUAACAAAGGUAUUAGCAAUGAGACUAGGCUUAAAAUGCACAAUAUUAUUUUCAUCCUUAACCGAGCAGAUAGUAUUCCUUUUCCUUCGCUUAAGCACAGCUUGAUGAAAAAAAUUCGUAUUAUGAUCACCAUCAGUAGCCCAUCCUUUCUUACUUCUUUGCUUAUAGAAACUAUUCAGUUUAGAGAGAGUUUGCUCAUACCUGAGAAUAAGCGAAUUAUGUUAUAGCACCUCAAUCUUCACAUGCACAGGUCAAAUUUGAAUAUAAUAAUAUAAUAGAAGUGUGUUGAAUGCUUGGUUUUUAUAGCUCUGGAUAGCACCUUUGAAAAUUUUUUCUUUUUAGAAUUGUAGAUUAACUAAACAAGAAAUUCCCAAGGAAUCCGUAACUUGUUCAAAUAAUAACUAAAUUGUAACAACUAGCAGAUCCAGCAAUUUUGGAAACUGAAACAACAACAUCACAAGAUUAAAUAUAGUGUUGGGCGGAGACAAAUUUUAGAAUUUUAUAUCAUUAACUGUUAGUAGAACAUGUUGUGCUUCCUAUCCUGAAACUUGACCAAUAGCAUGCAUCAGAUUCACCCAGUAUCCCAUAUGCACCGUUUCCCCUAGUUUAGUGUAGGCUUUGAGGCAUAGAGGAAACAAUAAGAAAGAGGCUAAUUCUAUUGAUGGAAUUUUUGGGGACUAGUUGACGGAAAAGCACACUAGCUCUACUGGAAUCGUCUUAUACGCCAAGUGCUACGGACACUCGGCAAAGGGUCAAUAACCGUCGACAAAGUCUUUGCCGAGAGUUGCACUCGGUAAAGGCCACCCGGCGUACACCUUUCAGACAAACAGAACUUCACCGAGAUCCGUUUAUGGGGCACUCGGCAACAGUAUUACCGAGUGUUCUCGUGGUACUCGGCAAAGGUUUGAACUCGGCAAAAAUCAACUAACGGCAGAUGAAAACGGCGGAAAUUCAUAGGUUCGCCACGUGUCACAGGUGUUUUUGCCGAGCGACGCACUCGGUAAAACUUGUUGGUUUAAAAAAAAAACGCCACAGACGCCGCUGCUGCCAGCGCCACCACAGCGCGUGCAUGUGCUGCUGUCGGCCAAUCUCUCUACCGUGCGCCACCGCUGCCAACGCGUGCUGCCGGCGGUGCUGCUGCUCUUCCUGCUUGCCGCUUGCGCUGCUGCUUGCUUCCUUGAUAGCCGACGCUGCUGCUGCUGCUUGCUUCCUUGAUAGCCGACGCUGCUGCUGCUGCUGCUUGCUUCCUCCCAAGCCGGCGCUGCUGCUAUUGCUGCUUGCCGGUGCAGCUGCUACUGCUUGCUUGCUUGGUUGCCAGCAAGUGCUGCUUGUUUGCUUGGCCGCGAAUCCAAGCACACGACGGCCACCAUGAGAGGAGGGAGACAGCAGGACUUGACCACGCCGACGAGUGUUUCCGAAACGGCGCGACGGGCCGGAGGUGUCACAUCUCUUGUGGGGCCACUGGUUCAUGGAGAGCUCGACGAGUACGGCGAUGCUAGACCGGUGUGCCGGUGGGAGAGCUAUGGUUGCAAGGAAGAGAGAGUGGCCGGCCAUGGCAAGAUGGGCAGUGUGUGUGUGGGGAUGUGGUUGGUGCGGGAAAAGAUAAGAGAGAGUUGUGUGCGGCUGGGUGUGGGUUUGUGGAAAAGAGGGAUGAGAAGAGAUCUGUGGCUGUGAUUGAUUUCCAGAGAAGAUUCACCUAGUCAUAUCAUCAAUCCGUGUACUAGUCACGGAUUGGCCGAAAGUGUGCUUUCUAUUAUGAUUUUUACCGAGUGUAACACUCGACAAAUAUCAAAAAAUAAAUAGAAAUACUAUAAAUAGACCAAAAAAAUUGUCAAAACACUAAGUUGUUUUUCCAUAUAGUGACUACUUGUUAACCCAAUGUUUAGGACAGAGUUAUCUCACACUUGCAUUUCAAAUUUCAAUUACUUGUUUCACAUAAAAUACUCAUUUUUGACGCUUACAAAAUAGAAAAUGUUUUUUUACAAAUAAGUUGGAUACUCUAUUUGGGAGCAUUGUUUGUAAUGGCAAGAUGGACCUAUGCGACAAAUUUCACCACGUCAUUACAAAAUAUAAAAUGAUAACGGUCACCAUCGUAGUAAUUUGGCAUGAAUGUUCAUCCUGGAUAGUCCAUUUUGUGAAGAUUUUUUUUUUCAAAAUUGUCAUAUUGCAAGUUUGGUAUUUUUUUCUCACAAAUAGUACACGUAAAAGGGGUUCAUAGUUUUUAAAUUUUUUUACGACAGAGAUAUCACACACUUGCAGUUUAAAUUUGAAUUACUUUCGGGUUAUUGACAUAAAGUCAUUUAAAUGUGCGAAAGUAGCUAGAAAACUAUAAAAUCCAUGUUGGGAAUUGUGCAUAAAAUAUGGUCUACUUACUGUGAUAAUUGGAGUGGUACCAUUUUGCACCCUGAUUUUUUUGUACAAAAAAGUAGGAAACUCUAUUUGGUAACAUUGUUUCUAAUGUCAAUAUGCACCUAUCCGUCCAAUUUGGGGACAUUUUAAUAAACUAUGCAAUGAAUAUGACCAUCACCUUGGUCCUUUGACUUGAAAGUCAUAAAUGUUCAUACACGAUAGCCCGUUUUGUGAAGGUAUUUUUCUAAAAUUUAUUAUAUUGAAGGUUUGGUAUUUUUUUCUUGCAACUAGUACACAUAAAAGGACUCCAUGCGAAAGGAUUGCAUUUUUUAAACUUGUAUUCUUUUUCUUUCAUUUUUUCCAACACGGGGUCAAAAUAGUCGACAUGGCUAUUCAUCACAACGGGUUGAAUCUCACAAAACUCUAAGUGGUUCUCCCAUAUAAUGAUUACAUGUGUAUCUAAAAAUAUUUUUUGCUAAUUUUUGUGACUGAGCUAUCACACACUUGCAGUUCAAUUUUGAAUUACUUUCGGGAUAUUGACAUAAAGUCAUCUAAAUGUGCGAAAGUAGCUAGAAAACUAGAAAAUCUAUGAAACUUGGGAAUUGUGCAUAAAAUAUGGUCUACUUACUGUGAUAAUUGGAAUGGUGCCAUUUCGCACCCUGAUUUUUGUACUUGCUUCACAAAAAUCACCCAUUUUUGACACUUAGAAAAUAAAACUUGAUUCUUUUUUUGUACAAAAAAGUAGGAAACCUAUUUGGCAACAUUGUUUCUAAUGUCAAUAUGCACCUAUCUCUCCAAUUUGGGGACAUUUUAAUAAACUAUGCAAUGAAUAUGACCAUCACCUUGGUCCUUUGACUUGAAAGCCAUGAAUGUUCAUACACGAUAGCCCGUUUUGUGAAGGAUUUUUAUUCAAAUUUAUUAUAUUGAAGGUUUGGUAUUUUUUCCUCGCAACUAGUACACAUAAAAGGACUCCAUGCGAAAGGAUUGCAUUUUUUAAACUUGUAUUCUUUUUCUUUCAUAUUUUCCAACAUGGGGGCAAAAUGGUCGACACAAGGGGUUAAAUCUCACAAAACUCUAAGUGGUUCUCCCAUAUAAUGAUUACUUGUGUAUCUAGAAAUAUUUUUUGCUAUUUUUUUAUGACUGAGCUAUUGCACACUUAAAGUUCAAUUUUGAAUUACUUUCGGGAUAUUGACAUAAAGUCAUUUAAAUGUGCGAAAGUAGCUAGAAAACUAGAAAAUCCAUGAAACUAAUUGUGCAUAAAAUAUGGUCUACUUACUGUGAUAAUUAUGGUGGUGCCAUUUUGCACCCUCAUUUUUGUAGUUGCUUCACAAAAAACACCCAGUUUUGACACUUAGAAAACGAAAAUUGAUUUUUUUAUACAAAAAAAAUAGGAAACUCUAUUUAGAAACAUGGUUUGUAAUGUUAAGAUGCACCUUUGUGUCUAAUUUGGGAUCAUUAUAAUAAACUAUUCAAUGAAUAUGACCAUCACCUUGGUCAUUUAAGACCAUAUUCAUAUUUAGCAUGCAAAAAGUGUAAUUAAUAUUACUUAAAUGAAAAAGGUUUCAACAUGAAAAUUAUCUGUCUCGUCAAAAUGAACGAAUUUGAUUUCUGGAGCAUCUUCAUCCAAGGUCAUAUGCAACCUGUACAGCCAAAACCAUGCAGUUUAGCGGAAAUCCCCUUUUGCCGAGUGUGACACUUGGUAAAGACCUGCUUUUACCGAGUGUGACACUUGGUAAAACCCUGUUUGUCGUGUUUUGUUUGAUUUACCGAGUGUUUUAUCCACAACACUCGGCAAAGUGCCUGUUUGCCGUGUUUCCCGUUUUUGCCGGGUUAGGUACUCAGCAAAGAUGCUAUUGCCGAGUGUCCGAUAUAAUGCACUCGGCAAAGAGAAAAAUUCCAGUAGUGGCUACAUGCGAACUACUCCUAAUUACCUAGCUAGGCCCAUGUAUGAGAUCAUACGUUCCAGGCCUAGAGACAUCAAUCCAGCUAUAAAUGGAGCACUAGUCUGAUGGGAAGCCAACUAUCACUAGUCUGAUCGUUAUUUUUAGAGAUUGUUCUUAUGAUCCCCGACCAUGCCUCAUCCUUUCAAGAAGACACGUGGCAUGUGGGAGAUGUUGUAACUUGGUAGAGAGAUAGAUCCGCUCCUCUGUAUGCUGUGGCCGUUCCCAUCUCCACCUCCCGCGUCCACAAUACCCUGUCCCUGAGAUAGGCGCCUUGCCGGAGCCUGCCUUCCGGCCUGAGAUCGACCCUUCUCCCUUCCGUACGGCUGGAUGAAUCGUUAUUUCAGGCAGUUCUUACUGAUGAGACGUAGAUCUAAAGCCUCAUCGCGUCCGUCUCUCGGAACUGCAAAAUACAUGCUCUGUUUAGGCAUAUUCUACCCUGAAAGAGCCGCCCCAGACAAUAUUACAUUUAAAACAUGAUCUUGGUAAAAAAUCCAAACCCUUGAUACUUUGAUAGAGACAAACUCCUUCUUUUGGGACCCGGUUAAAUACACUGAAUGAACAAUGAAAAUCCUUGCACGAGCACACGUGGGCAAGAAUGUUUGACCAGAGGUUUCAGCGGGCGUACUAAACGAAUAUAUGCAACUAUGGAUGAGGAUCACGGAGGUGGAACUAGUGCAGGAGGAUCAUGACUCGGUUAUUUGGGCAUGGGGAAGGAAUGGAGAGUUCACCACAAAAUCGGCCUACGACGCCAAGUUCUGGGGGCGUGAGGGGGUGCCAACAGCGUAGUUCACCUGGAGAUCCAAGGCACCAAUGCAAUGCAGAUUCAUUAUAUGGCUUGCCGCCCGCAACAGGUGCUGGACGUCCGACCGGCUAGCAAGAGGUGGACUUGACCAUCAAGAUAGAUGCCCUCUAUGCGAUCAAGAGGAAGAGACCAUAGACCAUAUCAUGUUGCAUUGUGUGUUUGUAAGAGAGGUGUGGACAGCGAUUCUGCAAUCACUGGGCAAGACGGAAUGGAUGCCAACGGGUGGACAAAGCAUCGUGGGGUGGUGCACGGACAAGGGAGGUACAACGCGGCAAAAGAGAGACCGAGCGGCUGUAUUCAUUCUUGCCAUGUGGGAGCUAUAGAAACAUCGGAAUGCCGUGAUUUUUGAUGGAGCAUAGCCGUCUAAGAAUUACGUCAUACUUCGGAUAGGCAAGGAGGGAAGAGCAUGGAAGCAAGCGGGGUUACUAAAAGGAGACAUGAACACCUUCUUUAAUGCAGUAUAAAUGCGGGCUAGAACAACAACAACAAUAAUUUAGGUCAUGCGAUAGGUGGAAGUAAGGGUGGUGUCGUGUACAUGUAGAUUGUAAACACUGACGUGGAGGGGCUCUUUACCCCACUCAUUUCUUUAUAUACACACUCGUGUGUAUCGAGAAAAUAAACGAAAAUCCUUUUCUGAGCCCGGGCUCAUCUUCACCCGUGUUCAAAAAAAAUAAAUCAAAAUAAAUACUAGAAAAUUCAAAAAACAAAUACAGUUUUUUUUGCAUGGUAGACAAUUUGAUGCGUGAGGUCCAUCCUAAUUUUCAAAUCAUUUGGACAACAGAGAAACUCUUGGCAAAAAGAAAACAAAUUCGGGGUCGAUAAAACAGUUUACUGUUCAUCUACCGUUUUGAUCCAAUUUCUUUUUUUUUUGCCGAGAGCCACUCAGAUGUCCAAAUGAAAUAAAAAUUGAAGCGGACCUCGCGCAAUAAAUUGUCAGCCAUGGAAAAUUUUUAGAGGUUUUUGAUUUUUUUAUGAAUUUAUUUCUAACCGGAUGCAGAUGAGCCCGGGCACGGAAUCGCUGCACUCUACCAUUGUCUCGAGUCCCGACUCAUAUUGUAAGAAUUGAGUUGCUAUUCCAUAGUAAAGCAGGUAAUUAUAAGUCGCUGCCAGGAAUAGGUCUUUGACGAGAUAAGCAGAACCAGCGAGCACAUGUUUAUACGAGGCUUCACUGGUUUGAUACUCCGGAUACUCCCUAAGGAAUGGAUUGCAUGCUACACCUGCUGCAGCAGCUACACCAUACAGUGUCGGCUAAAGGGCGCCACCCAUGUUGGAUCGCUCAAUCAGAGUAUCAACAGGACGAGGACACUUUCUAGGUGUUCAGUACGCUGAACUUGUACAUGCUUCUUUCCCCAUGCCUCCUAGUCAUACAUGCUUGUUUGGCGGAUUGUCUCCGUUUUAUGCCUGGCCUAUUUACUAUGUGGAAGUGCUUGGAUAAUAAGAGUUCUAUCAAAGUGUCUAAAGCGUAGAUGAAGGAGACACGAUGGGCUCAGAUAGGGUGGAAUAUAUGGGAGAGAGAGAAAACACUGUUUGGACAAGUGAAGGUAGGUGACGGCUUACUUUCUAUAUAAACACAUAUGUUCACUUGAGAUUUUAGUCAUGAUAUCUCAGUUAAGAUGUCAAGAGCUCUGGGGUCGAGGAAAAUGACUGAAGAACUUCCUUUUUUGGAAAAAACUGAAGAAAAUGUUUCCAAAAAAGCUUUCAUAUUUUUGGCAAAGCAAACCUCUAAUUUUCUUUACUAGCAGCCAACAAUGUUUUUCCUCAAAAGCAAAACAAAAGCCAAUAAUAGAAAUUGUAAUCCUUCUGCUUGCCACCUGGUGCACAAGGAGGGCUAGUUGUAGUUCAUUAAGCUGGUAAAGUUCGCAUUGCAUUUUCGAAUAGACGUUUUUAUACCAUUUGUGUUAAGGAAACUUAAAAUUAAGGCCGUGUUCGGAAUCCCUCCACUCCGUGGAGCUCGGUUUGAGCCGCUCCGUGAAAAUGGGCUGCAGCCUGCUCCGCCCAGGCGCGCAGUCGAGGGAGCGGAGAGGAACAAAAUUGACCACAUUUUUAGGUAUACUAUGAUUAGGAGGCAUAGGGAAAUAAACAAAUACUACAUGGGUGGAAUUUUGUUUCAACCAAAAAAUGUGGUCAAUUUCCCUUAUUAUUAGCUCCAUUUUUUAUUAUUAGCUCCAUUUUUUGGUUGAAACAAAAUUCCACCCAUGUAGUAUUUGUUUAUUUCUCUAUGCCUCCUAUUCUCCAUUAAAAGAGCUGAAUCGGAAAGAAAGAAUUAUUGGUCCAUGAUCACUUCUCAAGUUCUCAUGCAUUAUCUGGAGCACAACUGCAUACUGCCCCACACUUCUCCGGAUUAGUCAUAUGACACAUUGGACAUGGCAAUUAAUCACACAAACCAAGCCACCACACACGCGCAUUACCAAGUUAGAUUCUCGAUUGGUAUUUACAUGGAUAAGACAGUGUAUGAGCACAAUAUGUGCUCACACGUAGGGCUCGUUGGUCUUGAGUCAUGUUGGUAUAGAGGCCGGAUAUAAUUUGUAUCUUCUUGAUAUUAAUAUAUAUUUUUUAUUGGAAAAAGUUACAUGCAUGCCUUCCUUCCUUGAAUUUGAGCAUUGUUCUCCUUGUGGUAGAUUUGUUCUUGGAUGUUCAAGUGAUCUUGCAAAUCUUCAAGGGCUCUCUACUCUCAUCUUACCUACAUUUCUUCAACUCCACAAAGAAUGGCCUCUAUAAAAAAAACUUGGCCCUUCUUUACAUGUGUGCUCAUGUGUUGUACGCUCAAUUAAUCAGAGGGUGGAAGGUUUGUCCUUAAUUAUCAACUCUGUGCUCAGCAACAUGGUCCUUUGGUGAAUGAGUCAUAACCAAAAACUCAUUGAUUGUGCUACAGCUCGUUCAGGUGCGGAGCCAGCUGGUUGAUGUUUGCCAAAGUGCAUUACUGAAGGGGGUAGUGCAUUCCAGAAAAUUUCUUGUACGUACAGAACACGGCUAAGUUCUCUCACAGGAUCAAGAAGCCGACUGUCCUGCCGAAUCUCUUUUUUUUAGAACGAAGGCUCAAGAAAUGUCCGGCUUUGAAUUAACAAAGCUAUCAACCGGCCAGGAUUACAUGGUCAACACCUUACGAGGAAAAGCAAAGAGAAGCAAAGCGAACGGUACAAGGAGCUCAAGCAAAACAACUCGAAGGAAGCUGUGAAAGCGAGCUGAAGCAUCACCUGCAAUAGCAUAACUAAACUAGGGUCUUGGGAGGAAUGCACCACCGUGCAAACUUCGUGAUCACAACCACCCUCGAAGACAGUAAUGGACGAAACCACCAUUUGUUACUGCCACUGCAAAGGUCCCCUACCCUUUCAUCCUGGCUCGAAGGAUGCUGCACCGGCAGCGGUGAGCUCAGUUCACCCUAGAACCCUCCCAAUCUACAUACGGAGAAGUUAGAGCAGACCUGCAAGCCCAGGACACACUACUCAUGAGCACCAUCGUCGUCUGCAGCUCAGCCCUACCGAUGGGCGAGAGCUGCCAGCCACAGUCGCAGAAGCAAGGGCAUGUCAAAGGCCAAGAGCAAGAUUCGCCAAAGCAUAGGGCUCCUACCAAAUGGUAUAUUGUGGCCUCCAUAGAGGGGAACCGGGUCCCUUCUCACCUAGGCCCGUGGGCGUCGUCGACCCUCCGACGACCUCGUCAGGGACCAUCCAAGCCUGCAACCUAAGAAGAAACAAUGUAGAAUGCAAACCAAGUUGUCUCCCGCCACCAUCGCAUCCACAACCAAACUCUCUGGCCGCCUCUGCGAUCCUCAGACAGUGUCUCCAAAAAGGGACACGACACGGACGCGCCGUUGUCACCCGAAGCAGAGGACCUAGGCUUUCACCUAGCAGGGGACGAAAGUAGGGGGGAGAGGAUCCACACCACAGCCUCCAAGGAGGGGAACAACGCCCAAGGCGUUGCCUUUGGUGUAACUGCCUCGCUGGCCAGGGGUUCCCCUCAGAUCCAACCCCACCCGACGAGUUCCACACAGCCGGCAGCGGCAGCCUAAGCCACUAUGUUGGAACUUCGUCCACAGGAUCGAUCACAUCAAAUCACGAUGAACACACACACACACAAAACUGAUAGCUAAGGGCUCUUGUCGUGCCCUCUGAUUCUCUUUAUUUUCUGUUUUCUCCACUCCACGGUACAAUCUGAUAUUACAUGACCCCUAUACCCGCAUAUUUAUAUGCGUGAACCUGCACGACUGGCCGGUACAAACCGACUCUGACUACUACUAUAAUCCUAGCUAAACCUCCACGUACUUGCUCUUGAGUCCAAACCGGACUCACCUUGACGCACGGCAAGGACUACUACUUCGGCACUAACCAGUACGUACAUGGAAUCAGCUAGCACCAUGAUAUGGAAGCCAACGCUAACACGUGUACAUACAGUCAAAUAGUAAUCCCAGCCGGACAACUAUUACUUAGGCGACACUAACUAAUUAAUUUAGACAAGAUUACCUAACACACUAGGACCCAGGUCCGGCGAUGGAAGGAGCAGGUCAGGGCAGGGGAUAUGGGCUUCAUCUGGCGGUGGCAUACCUGCAGGGAGUGAUGCACACCAGAGACCGAGGACCGCCAUCGUCUCAUCACCCGCGUGACCAAGGGAAGCACCUUGCCAGCACCAAUAGGAGCGUCCCGCCGCCAGGGCCACCCCGCACACACUGCUCGCGGCCGCCGCUCCGGAUGCCGAGGCCCGCCACACGUCGUGGAUCAGUCGGAUCCCCGCCGCCACCUUCAUCGUUGUUGAGCGCGCGCGCCGGAGCAGACAUCAGGGGGCGGCAGAGGGAGAGGAGGGGCACGGCGGUGGUGGCAUGGGGGGAGGGGCGUCUUGCCGAAGCUCGAUGUGGCAAAGACCUUCGACUCAGUGUCAUGGGGCCGAAGCUCAGUGUGGCAAAGACCUUGGACUCGGUGUCCUGGACAUACUUGUUGGAUAUGCUUCGGGCUCGCGGUUUUGGGCAUGAUGGAUGGAAUGUAUGGCUAUGUUAUUAAGCUCCUCUUCAUCACAGAUCGUCAUAUGGCUAUGUUAUUAAGCUCCUCUUCAUCACAGAUAAUCAUCAAUGGGCAAACCUCAGACUUCAUGCAUCAUCGCCGUGGUGUGAGGCCAGCCAACCCCUUGUUUCCGUCAUUUUUAUCCUGGCUAUGGAUCCGUUGCAACAUAUGUAUACUCUUGCUGGCCAUCGACGCUGUGAAUGGCUUGGUAGGCGCGUAACAGGCCGUGGGUGGGAUCCAAAUUGCCUUACGACGAAACAGCAACAACACUACCUGGCAUCGAGUAAUUACAGAAUAAAACUGUCUACUUUGAUAACAAUUUGGGGAGCGAAACAGUAUUACCAAUUUAGUAAGUCCAAGAAUGUACUGGAGACUGGUGUAUAGUUACUGUUGUAAUUAUGCAGGAAACAGACUUGCGAGCAAUGAAGAAGAAAUGACAUUGUCGUAACUAAACUUCAGUCAGUCCAUUUAUUUUGAUAGGCGAAACCCACAUAAAUUGCCACUCUAAGAGCCUCUUAUUCGUUUGAUAAGAUGUCUCUCUCAACAUUCUUGUUUUAACUAGCUUAGUUGUGUUUCCUUCUUCUAGUUCUACAUCACAUUGCAUGUCAGCUAAAUGCAAGCAACUAAAAUUUCACACUAUGAGUAGCUUACCUGAAUUUACUUUAUUUGUGUGGCCAGAGAAAGGUGACCUGUACAUGUGGGGAAAUGCAAGAGACUGCAGGCUAGGCGUUCCCGAUCUUCCAGAAGUGCAACCAUUACCUGUUAAAGUUAAUUUUCUUGCUGACGGUGAUGAGGAUCCAAGACCUCCUCGUGUCAUCUCGGUUGCAAUAGGCGCUUCCCAUGCCAUGUGUUUGGUCUCCAGGCAACAGAUUCAGAAAUAGCAGCUGUUGCUUAUCAGCUUUGUAAAUUCAGUCAAAUUUGGACCUCCUAACCUGCGAGUACGACAUGGAGAGGAUCAUGUUCUCUAUUGGUUAGAGCCUGCCUACUCUGUUGGCGAAAACUCCUGCUCGGUGAAGCCCAAC
rnacentral:lncRNA from 1 species